UUUUUUUUCGUCGAAACAUAUCAACAUGGAGUCUAGUUUUCAAGAUCUUGUCGAGGCGGAUUUAAUGGUGAAAACGGAUUUUUAUUUCGCUUUUUUAAUUAGGAGAUAAAACAUUUUUAAGCCGAAAAUCAAAAAGAUUUCUGCUGAUGUCAUCUGUUCAUAAGUGGCAAAAUAAGUGGUGAUAAAGACGUGUGAGCAAUGUGCAAACGCCCACACGUGUGCGCGUUAGUUUUUCCGAUAAAAUAAAUUACAAACACACACCUUGAAUUUGAGUGUAGAGAAGUAUUUUUUUUGUAGCGUUACUUGUGAUCAUCUUGUGACUAACUUGAAGUAAAUUACUGCUUUUAAAAAAACCUUGAAGUAAAUUACUAGUAAAGAUUUGAUAUUUAAAGCAGAGCAACAAGCUUGAUCGAGAAUCUUUUCUUUAAACGUACUUUUUUAAAGUCAAUGUUAAGGUACUUGAUGGUCCGGCAGUUUGUUUUAUAUAUAGUAAAGGACCACAUCAUUGCUCUCUCUUUGGGGAUAUUAUUCUUUCUUUUUGCACGAUGCAAACAUUCUACGCAGUGAAGGACAGAGCACGUUCAUCUCUUUUGCAUCAUGCAGUGUUUUGUGCUUUCAGCUUUGGACUUUAUUUUCUUGUUUGCUGCAAAUCGAAAGAAACGAUGCUUAGUUCCUUUACUCUUAUUAUUUGGUAAAGGAAAAGGGGAAACAUAAUGACCAAAGAUAGGGCGAUGCCAAUAUUCUCAUCCGAUCAUGAGCUUGUACAGCAUAUGAUAAAUGAACCCCAUUUAGAGCAUCUCCAAUAGGUGUCCAAAAAGAGCUCCGCGCACUAAAAGUUUGUUUUUUGGGCGCCGGACAGCUCCAGCAGAAGCUGUAGCGCUAAAAGUUUUUGGGCACGCGCCAAAAAGCGCUAUAGCGCGCAGCAUAUUUUGGGAGCCGGAUUGCGCGCGCUUCACAAUUUGCAUUGUCUGCUUUUUAGGCGCGCGUUUUUGGGCGCCUGCUAAAGCAAAGUUGGUCCCGGCCAGGGACGGAGCUGGCUUGUAGGCACUGGGGUCAAUUGACCGCAAUGAAAUUACUAAAUCCUUCAUUAUCUUAGUAGUAAUCACUGUUGAUUUAUAGAAGAUGACCCCAUUGCCAUGGAUAUGACCCCAUCAACCUUUUUUUCUAGCUUCGUCCCUGGUCCCGGCGCAUUAAAAGUACUACAGUGGCGCGUUAUAACGUUUAUUGGGCGCGUAAUUUUUGUGCGGCCGUUGAAGAUGCUCUUAGAUUUCGGUCUUUUGCAUGUGAAGUAUAGCCAGGCCAUGGCCCGGGGCGUGGAGCCUGCUUUCUUCGUUGAUUGUAGCUACAGUUACGUACUGCAACUAUAGUUUAGACUGUACAAAAGAGGUUGGCCCGGGACGUAGGUGAAACCUACCUAGGUGCACCAAGGAAGCAUACUGUCCAUGGUCGUCGGCGUCCACUCCACCUUGCCCAAGGCCGAGAGCANNNNNNNNNNNNNNNNNNNNNNNNNNNNNNNNNNNNNNNNNNNNNNNNNNNNNNNNNNNNNNNNNNNNNNNNNNNNNNNNNNNNNNNNNNNNNNNNNNNNNNNNNNNNNNNNNNNNNNNNNNNNNNNNNNNNNNNNNNNNNNNNNNNNNNNNNNNNNNNNNNNNNNNNNNNNNNNNNNNNNNNNNNNNNNNNNNNNNNNNNNNNNNNNNNNNNNNNGGGGGUUGUCCAGCCCUAACGAUCGAGUAUGACCAGUAAUUAGCGAGAUUCUGUCUUUUGAGAAAAUACCAUGCACUAUAUGACACGCAUGUUCCCAUUUCAUUUUAAUUUCUCAAAACUACUUUUCUAUUUCAAAUUUUUUCAGGAAACUAAAAAGUGUUCCCAUUUAAUAAUUUCAUUUUCUUUUGUCAGAAAAUGUUCCAGUUUUGAAAAAAAAAUAGGAAUUCCAAAAGAUUCAAAAUAUGACUGUUCACUCCGGAAAAUAUUGGGAAAUUCAAAAUAUUUACCUUUUAAAUUUUUGUUCAGAACCCAAAAAGAAGUUUCGUUUCAAAAAAUAUUCCCAUUUCCAAAAAAAAUAAAAAAUUCACACAAUAUUCACAUGUUUAAAUUUUCUUCACAAAUUGGAAAAUAUAUUGGAAUUUCAAAAAAACUUCAUGUUUCCAAUUUUCUCACAAAUUCAUAAAUGUCCAGGAAUUUAAAAAAAUUCUUCUUUAUUUCCGAAUUUGUUCGCAAAUACAAAAGAUAUUUUUGUUUUCAAAUUUGUUCACAUAUUCAAAAAACGUUCAUUUUUAAAAUUGUUUCAAAAUUCAAAAAAUGGUUGCAUUUUUAAUUUUUGUCCACAAAUUAAAAUAUGUUUGUGAAUUUCGAAAAAUGGUCCUGUUUCCAAAUUUGUUUACAUUUCCAAAAAAAAGUGCUACAGUAUUAAAAAAUUACAAGUUCAAAAAAUGUUCAUGUUCUCAAAAUUAAUUCGCAAGUUCAGAAGUUGCUCGAGUUUUUAGCUCUCACUCUUCUCUCUUCUAGUAUUUUCCUCUCUAUACUCUAUUCCAUUUGUACUCUCGUUUCUCUUAUUUCUGUUAUCACUUUCUCUCUUAUCUCUUCUAUUUUUUUCACCUUUUACUCUCUUCUAUUUUCCCUCUCUUCUCUCUUUUCUCUCAUUCUCUCCUGUCUCUCUUGUCUCACUUCAGUAAACAUCGAUUUACACUCGGAUCUCUAUUCUACCCUUUUCUCUUCACUAUGCAUCUAGAAAAAUAAAACCUACACCAUAAAUAUUACAAAUUAGACCAAAUUGACCUAUACUAUAUAUAAAUCAACUAACAGAUAAUACACAGACCAAUAAUACUUUGUAUGAAAUGCACAUCUCACUGGCAAUAUUUUAGAAUUAACCAUGGUAUUCUUGUUGGGCAUAGCAUGUAUUUUUAUUAUUAUUAUACAAUGGAAAUGUUAUUAAUUUUCCCAGGAACUUUUUUAUCUUACAACUUUUUUCGCACCCUGGAAUUUUUUUAAUUAGACCAUGGAAAAUUUAUUAAUUAGUGGAAUGCAAUUUUCUAAAGUAUAACAUUUUCAUUUGCUCAUGGAUUUUUUUUCUAAAACAUGUUAACUGGGCGUCUAGGCGAACCGCUGGUCGCGUUGAACCUGAUCAGAGCAAAUGCUCCAGAUUGGUACUUUUCGUUCACUCAGAGAUACGCCAUACCUGCAUAAUUUAGAAUUUUUUUUCUUCAUUUGCCAUGAUUUAUAAAACAUUGGAAAGUGAACUUGCCAUAUGUCCACGGGAAGUUUCUAAAUUUGCGAAGAAUAAAAGUUUCUACAGUAUGCCAUAUGCAUUUUUUUAUAGGUAGCAUUGCAGUUAUACUUUGUUUAGACCAUGGAAUUUUAUUAUUUAGACUUAGAUUUUUUUUGUGUAGUAUGUCAAUUUCAUUUCUUUUAUGCCAUGAAUUGUUUCUAACUUGAUCAUGACAAAAUUUACAAUUAGACCUUGAUAGUCAUAUUGUGUGUAGCAUGUCAUUUUUAUUAUUUAGACCAUGGCAAUUUUAUUAAUUUGACCAUGUCAAUUUUCUUUUCUUCCAACUAUUUUCUAUUUUUGAACCUUGGAAGGUUUUAAUUUUACCAUGUAAAAUAUAUUAAUUAGAGGAUGACAUUUUUAUAAAUUAUAAAUGAGAAUGUUUUAUAAAUUAGAGCAUGACAUUUGUCAAUUUUUGUUUUCUAUUUGCAACACCAAUUAGCUAAAAAAAACUAGUCCUCUGGGCCAACCGAGAGUCGCGCUGACCCCAUUCGCUCAGGGUUACUCUACAUUUUGUGGAAUUUUUGAAAUGUUUUUUCUACUUUUUACAUGGAAUUUUUAUUAUUAAAAGCAUGGCAAGUUUAUUAUUAAGGGUAUGACUUUUUUAUUAUGAAGAGCAUGGCAAUUAUAUUUUUUAGUAAAUCAUAAUUUUUAUUAUUAAGAGUAUGAAAAUUUGUAUUUUUAAUAGCAUAUAAAUUUUCUUUUGAAUAACAUUGAAAUUUUAUUUAUUUGUUACCAAGGCAAUUUCGUUCGCGGCAGCAACCUUCAUAUCCGAUGAUUGGAAAUUUGUCAUGUUUUAAAGAAAUUUGCCGUGUUUUAAAGAAAUUUGUCAUGGUUUUAAUAACAUAGAUAUUUGCCAUGUUUUAAAGAAAUUUGUCACCAGAAUAUAUUCUUAGAAAAUUGCCAUAGACAUUUUUUGUUUAUUAAGUUUUUGUACUCCCUGUUAGAAGGGAGAGAGGGGUUUGGUGGAAUAGUUCGAUGUAUUGCUUGAGCCUCGUGGGCAUAUAUAUAGGAGUACAAUCAUCUACUUGGAGUACAAGACAAGGCCGAACAAAUCCUAGUCUAUCUCGUCUUUUCUAAUAAAAAUUAUACUCAACAUCCCCCCACAGUCACAACGGUAGCAAUGCAGACGGUGGGACUGGAGAAGAAUCUGAAGGCAAGCCGACGGACACCCCCCUCCCCCAGUCGUAACGGACGACACAUCUCGGAGUCGUGGCUGGAGUGACAACCGACAAGGUUGCUCAAGCAGGCGGUAGCCCUUUGUGCCGUUUGUCGAAGUAGCCAAGAGUGUGGGUGAUGGAGCCAUGGUCGAGGUAGCCGUGCGAAGAAUGUCGUGGUCGAUGUCGAGUCGGGGUGUCCGAUGUCAAGGAAGUCGCCGUGGAGCCACGGGCGCAAGAGGGCGCCGAGUUAGCAUGGGCGCAGUGGUGUAGAAGUAGGGGUGCGCCGGGAAGAAAAUGUUGUUGACGACGCGUUGCGGCGGGUUUGCCAAGCCCGGGGACACAUCAUGGACGAAGGCACGCACCGGUGUUGCCAGCACCGGGCAUGCGUAGACGGACGAAGACGAAGUUGACGAAGCAUCGACCAGGCUUGCCAGGCCCGGGGACAUGUCGUGGAUGAAGGCACGCGUCGGUGUUGCCAGCACCGGGCAUGCGUAGACGAGGGACCUGCACGAGCUGUACGCCAUGUCGGAGAAGUCGGAGGGACCAGCAGAGAAGAACUCGACGACGAUUGUUGCGUCCAUCGGCGGGAGGCCGAUGUUACCAAAGGUGGUCGGAGUAGCCGAAGUGGUCGGGGUAGAUGACAGCGACGCUGGCGGCGCGCUGGUGCUUGGACGAAUACGAAAGGGGUGGACGGGCGGUGGCGGCUAAGAAGGUAGCGGCGGCGGCGGCAAAAGAAGAGCGGCGGCGGCAACCUGACGUCGGCGGCGGCCUGACGGCGGCGGCAGCGGCGGCGGCUAGGUUAGGAGUGCGGCGGCGGUGCUCGAAGUAGGCGAAGAACCCUGACAGCAUGACAAAGACCGGCGCGGACGGUGGCGUUCCCGCGCCAAGGGAGACGGCGCGACGCAUACCACGGGAGGUCGACACGCUGUGACGACGGAGUGGACAGCGGGCCGCGGUGCUACGGCCCGAAGGGGCGACGCAGCGGCGGCGGGCGGGUCGGGACGACGGCGGGAAGACCUCGGGGCGGCGGCGGGGACCAUGGGCCGCUACACUGCGGCUCAAAGGGGCGACGCAACGGCGGUUCAUGAGUCGGUGCAACCGUCGGGACGGCCUCGAGGCGGCGGCGGGGACCGCGUAUCGCGGCACUACGGCCCGAAGGAGCGAUGCAGUGGCGACGCACGAGUCAAUGCAGCCGCGAGGAGAACCACGGGGCGGCGGCGAUUCGGCCCGACGGGGCGACGCAGCGGCAGCCCGAUGCUCGAUUGGUGGAGAGGCGCGUUGAACUCGGGGACGAUCUUCACAGGACCUGCGGAGGCGCGCGUAACCGACGGGCCAGGUCGGUCGCGCGGUGUAGAUGAGGCGGAUCGCGGCGGCGAGCGGGUGAUCAAGCCGAUCGCGUGCGAGGUCGGGGACGCUGAUCGGUGGAGGCGUGGUGGCGGCGGUGUCCGAGAUGAAGCCGGCGAUGACAGACGGCGUGAGACAACGUGCGGACGAGCUUGUCAGCACCGGCACCCGGGCUGCCAAAGCAACGCCGGCGAGGCCCGGGCGCCCAACGGAGCAGCAGCGCCCGAGUUGAGGCAGCCGACGAGCCUGACGCAGCCGUCCCGACGCAGCCGAGGACGAGGCCGGCAAGGUAGACCGUCGGGCCGCCGUGCAGACGCGGCGGUGGCGGGUGACGUGGAUCGAUGGGCGGGCCGGCGCACGAGCGACGACUAUGAUUGGCCGUCGCAUGGCGCGAGGCCGCCGGGUCGGGGCGAUGCAGGUGUCCCGGUCGGAGCAGGGCGGCGACGACCGGCGCAGGGCGACGGGCGGACCGACGCGCGGAUGACGGCUGGCCCUAAUGGGCCGCCUCUGCGCGCGUGGCCGCCGGGUCGGAGGAGAGGCCAACUAGUCGCGCCGGGGUCGGAGUAGAGGCGCUCGGGGUCGACGGCGGCGGUGGGCGACGCAAACCGAUCAAGAAUAGAUCGGAAAACCAAAAAGAAAUCGCGCGAUCAAGAUGACCGGCGAGAGUGAGAAAACCCUGGAGCAAGGCUCGGGGAAAAGACUCUCUAGGGUAGCCGGUCAACACGACCGGCAGACGAACCCUAGGUACGGGCGGCGUGGACCCCGGCGGCGGUCAUGGAGGCCGACCGCCCCGGGGGCGGCGCGCAGGUGCGGAAGCGGCAACGGCUAGGGUUUAUGAUCAACUUGUGAUAGAUACCAUGUUAGAAGGGAGAGAGGGGUUUGGUGGAAUAGUUCGAUGUAUUGCUUGAGCCCUGUAUGCAUAUAAUAGGAGUACAAACAUCUACUUGGAGUACAAGACAAGGCAGAACAAAUCCUAAUCUAUCUCGUCUUUCCUAGUAAACAUUAUACUCAACACUUCCAGCAGUUUGUUUUGAACGUGGUGUUUGAAUGUACAAUAAGGCAUGGCAGGUGUUUUGAACAGUUUUUUGGCCAGCAUCAACAAGGUCUGUUUUCAUUUUUUCUAGAUUCAACCCUGCUCGAAUUAACUCAUGAUAUUGUCAGGGAUACUGAAGAUCCCAGGUCUGUUUUCAUUGGCUACUUGCUUGCACGUUUGUAGGGCCAGGGCCCAGGGGUGGGUACACACUAGCUGGCGAAAAGGUGUAGCGUACACCCCUGGCUUCCCCACGCUUGAACUUGGGCCGGCACAGAAUGGGGCGGGGCUACCUUGUUUCUUCAUGAAUUCAGAACAAUGUUCACAAAUUAAAAACAGGAAUAUUGAUUUAUCAAAAAUGCCAGACAUACAAAGACUUACACGCUUUUACACGCUCCUUCCNNNNNNNNNNNNNNNNNNNNNNNNNNNNNNNNNNNNNNNNNNNNNNNNNNNNNNNNNNNNNNNNNNNNNNNNNNNNNNNNNNNNNNNNNNNNNNNNNNNNNNNNNNNNNNNNNNNNNNNNNNNNNNNNNNNNNNNNNNNNNNNNNNNNNNNNNNNNNNNNNNNNNNNNNNNNNNNNNNNNNNNNNNNNNNNNNNNNNNNNNNNNNNNNNNNNNNNNNNNNNNNNNNNNNNNNNNNNNNNNNNNNNNNNNNNNNNNNNNNNNNNNNNNNNNNNNNNNNNNNNNNNNNNNNNNNNNNNNNNNNNNNNNNNNNNNNNNNNNNNNNNNNNNNNNNNNNNNNNNNNNNNNNNNNNNNNNNNNNNNNNNNNNNNNNNNNNNNNNNNNNNNNNNNNNAAUCGUUUGUACGUGUAGCAUUGCCGUUGAUUUAUUUUGAUGGACGUUUUUUUGAAUUUUGACGAAGAAACAAUUGAAUUUUUGAAGAUUCUUUGCAUUUUGAAGAUUCUAAGGGCAUCAAUCUCGCCAGCCACUCUUCGUUGCGGCGGAUGCACACUAGAUCUGGUCUCUUGUGGUGUUCUUGGCCAAUGACGAUUAGCCUUUGGUCAACCAACUGCGCUGUCCGUCCGUUCAUCUCGCCAUUAUCUGCAAGAAAAUACUAGUAGUAUUACUCAAACAUUUCUCUGCGAAUAUAACUUGAAUCCAAUUGUAAAGGUUCGGUACAAGUACAGAGCACCCCAAACAUAAUUAAAAAAAUACAUCAAAGUCCCUGGACCACCGAACGACCAAUACCAUAGCUAGAACGAGUCGAUGAUGUGCCGCUUAUCUAUCGAAGAUGAGCUAGCCUUGUUGAUGACAGCCGGGAAGUCAUCAUGCAUAUGCCCCUAGAGACUACCGUUCUGGAGCCACAGUCACCACGAUUGAACUCCCGGAUAAAUCUGAAGCCCUUGACAUUAGAACUCACAUUCGUCGUAUGCCCAACAAGAAAUCCUAACCUCGCCGCCCUAAGGAGACGAUAAGAAUCUGCGUCGGAGCUUCAUCAAUUCCGUUCCACCCGACGAAUUUGAGGUGGAUCGGAGCCCAUAAGACCAUCUUGAUGAUGAAACACCACCAUUUGUCGAGCGGCGCCUCCAAGGGCUAGUUCCUCCACAUGCCUCCUGACGGUACAAAGCACCACCAAAACAAGGGCAAGGCGGGGAGACUUAAUUCCAUGUCGAUGACACCACCGUUGAUGGAAACAAACCCUAAAACUAUUCCUACCUCUACCACAGACCUGGACACUCAGAUCCGGGGUUCCCUCAUCUUCCCGCCGCCACAAUGGUGGCGGAGGCUAGGCGGCUAGGGAAACCCGCGGCGGCGCCCUUGUUGAAGGGAGGAGCAGUCGCCGCCUCCUAAUUGCAUCCUGAAAGUGACCCUGGAAAACUGUUCUCGUAUCGCUAUUGGAAGUUGUGUUCCAAUAAUCUAUUCCCCUUACUCGAACAUUUGCUCAUCGUCAGUCAAAAGAAGAAGAAAAUAGAUAACGGCAUUACUCCCGUUUCAGGAGAUUACAAAUGGCUCGCGAAGGCAGCAGCGGACACGACGUUCUGGAGCGGUUGCUGGUUGAUAAAAAUGCAGAGCCCAUGAAACUGCCGUUAUCACUCUUGGAGGACAUCACCAAUGGUUUUUCUCCUGAUCGCCGAAUUGGCAUCGGAGGGUUUGCGGUGGUUUACAAGGUAAACAACAUACUGGCAAUGCCACAUGACCACACACACAUGAGUUGAAGCUUGACGAUGCAUAUUGUCACCAUACAUAGGGGGUGGUCGGAAAAUACACAGUCGCUGUCAAGAAGCUGUCCAACACGUUCAGUAUGGAUGAGAAAAAAUUCCACGCAGAGGUUACAUGCUUGAUGAAAGCGAAGCAUGAGAACAUAGUACGUAUCCUGGGGUAUUGCGCUGAUACACAAGGGAAGGUGGAAAACUACGAGGGAAAGCUUGUCAUGGCAGAUGUACGAAACUGGUUACUUUGUUUUGAGUAUGUACCUAAUGGGAGCCUGGAUAAGCACAUUACCGGUAGGAUACUCAACUUCUUUUCAGUCCACUGUUAUUUACCCUAUUGUCCGUUAUUGAAGUACCUGCAAUGUUUUGUACUUUGCAUUCCUACAUUUACAUUAUUACAAUGUCAACAUCAACACAAAUUAAGUGUGAACAUUUAAAAGUCCCGCCACUUCCUCUACAGAUGUAUCUAUUGGACUUGAAUGGAGAGAGCGCUAUCGAAUAAUCAGGGGAAUAUGCGAGGGGCUGCAUUGUCUUCAUCAUAAGUGCAUUCUUCAUUUGGACCUCAAGCCUGCUAAUAUAUUGUUAGAUGAUCACAUGGUACCUAAAAUUACUGAUUUUGGUCUAUCGAGGUGUUUCGAGGAAGGGCAAACAAGUGCUUUUACUGAACAAAUAUUUCUAUCACGGUAAGCAAGCCUUCUAAAAGUUAUUAUUCUCUUUGAUGGGAAAAAGUAUUAUUCAAUUGAUUUGCACAUUUAUCAGUCAGAUUUCUUAAUCUUGCAACAGAGGAUGUUUUGCUCCAGAACUCCUGACAAGACAACUCACAUUCAAGUUAGACAUAUUUAGUCUAAGCGUUAUAAUCAUAGAGAUACUAACAGGAGAGAAUAGCUAUUCCGAAGAUGAGAAGGUAACAACAAUUUAUACUAUGCUCCAAGUUAAUAAAAGGAUACAUUUUUAAAUGAAUGUUUUACUGAUUAUGAAUUAACUCUUGAUUGCAACCUUGUAGGCAGGUUGGAUGACUCAGGUAGUUUCAAGUUGGAUGGAUCGACUGCAGGCAUUAGAGGGAGAUACAAGGGUGGAACAAGUAAGAGUAUGCACUAAGAUAGGGAUUGAAUGCUUGGACUUGGACCCGAAGAAGAGACCAGAUGUAGGGGACAUAAUCCAUAGGCUUGAUAGAACGGGAAGUGUGGACUACUUGGAUGAAGUUGGUAUCAGAGGUUCGUCAAUUGAGCAGGUUUGUUUACUGAACAGUCUCAAGAAAGAAGUUUACAUCGUGUUGGAGACCUGGUGUAUAUUAUCCUUUUCUUUCAUUUUUUUUCUUGAUCUCCCUAUAUAAUCUUCUUUGCUAGAGUCAUAAGAAGGUCAAGCCUGCAGACCUUAUCCAAGAGGACGAAAACGUAAACUGGAGAUCAUUCAACAUUGAUGGUCUAAACAAGUUCACAGAGGAUGAGAUUAAAAGGAUCACUGACAACUAUAGCACUCUCAUUUGCAAAGGUGGCUUCGCAGAAGUUUACCAUGGUGUUCUUGAAGAUGGUAGUUCCGUCGCAGUCAAGAUUCCACUCCCAGAUAUGAAAGAACAUUUUGCUAAGGAAAUAAUCAUACAUUGCCAAAUCAACCACAAGAACGUUGUUAGGCUCUUGGGCUACUGUUCAGUGGAAAACGCUUUAAUGAUGAUCACCGAGUACAUCUCCAGAGGAAGCCUCAGAGAAGUUCUUGAUUCCAGAGAAUAUCCCAUUUCUUUAGAUGCAAGGUUGGGUAUUGCUCUAGACUGUGCAGAGGCCUUAAGCUACAUGCAUUCUUCCAUGUGUCCACCAACCAUUCACGGUGAUUUCAAGCCUGGUAACAUCCUUUUAGAUGAUAACUUUGGCGCAAAAUUAUUCGACUUCGGGAUAUCAAGAAUGUUUUCCAAGGACAAGACUCACUACACACUGAAUGUAAUAGGCAGCAUAGCUUACCUUGAUCCGUUGUUUGCUCAGACUGGGUGCAUCGAUCCAAAGAGUGAUGUUUACAGUUUUGGGGUCGUUUUAGUAGAACUAGUCACGAGAAAAAAGGCAUAUGAAAACGGGAGAAUGGGCCUCAUAGAAACUUUCUCCCAAGCUGUUCAAAAAGGAAAGAAGGCAAGAGAGAUGUUCGAUGCUGAUAUAGCACAGUCGAGCAACAUUAAGGUUCUUGACAAGAUUGUAAAUCUAGCAGCUGAGUGCCUCAGAAUGGACAUCGACAAACGCCCUCAAAUGGAAGAUGUUGCAGAACGUCUUCGGAUGCUAAUAAAAGCUCGUUGCCAGCCGGGUGAAGAAAAAACUGCAGGUCACUGGACAUUGUGGGGAAAACAAGACAACAACACAACACAAAGCGAAAGGAUUUCCAGCUCUAACUCUACCGUGUUCUUCAACUUGAACAGUUUGGGCAUCUUACGUUGACCCAUUGUUUCUUAAAACCGGGCAACUGACAGAAAAAAGCGACGUCUACAGCUUUGGGGCGAUUCUCUUAGAACUCAUUACCAGGAAGCGAAGUGUAUACGAUGAAUACUGUAGCCUCAUUCUGGAGUUCCGUAAAGUUUGUGAGAAAGAAAAGAGCGGUAGGGCGAUGUUGGACAAGGAGAUCGCAACAGAAGAAGAAGAUAUCUAUUGCCUGGAAGAAAUUGGCAAGCUGGCAAUUGAGUGCCUAAAAAAGGAUAUAGAAGAUCGGCCUGACAUGGUGGCGGUAGUUGCGCGACUUGCCAUGCUUAAAAAGGAUAGGAUGCUUAAGAGUUAGGAACGGUAUCCAAGUGACUUGUACUCCCUCCGUCCCAUAAUAUAAGAGCGUUUUUAACAGAGGGAGUAUUUGAUUUACUUGGUCACUUUUCUCUGCUCUCUGUAUAUCACUGUACAUGUGAAUAAAAUGUGAGGUCAACAUUAACCAGCUCUCUGCAAUUCUGCAUGACUGAACUAUAGUACUGUCAUCAUGAAUGGCUUAGAAAUCAUAGGCAGUUUGCAAAACUGGACUUCCAUACGAUUGGGAUGUUGGGAUCUUUGCUUUUAUAUCAGGAGCAGUUUGGAAUGCAGGAUGUGUCUCUGAAUCUAUUGUAUUGGUGUCAUUUCUUCUUCUAUUCCUGAACUUUUCAAAGGAUUACAACAGCCAUUAGCAUGGGCAAAACAAAAGCGUGUUUGGGGGUGAACUGGAGGAUUCCAAAGGGACUAAGCGCAUAUCAUCGUCGGACCCAGUUAAAGCCUGGUAGAUGGAACCAAGAAAACUACUGUAGGUAAGAUGCAUGGAGAACAGGAUGAUUAUUGGUAUGGAUGGACAUGGAAAUAAAUACUGAUUAGUUUGCGAUGACUGUCUCCGACAUGAGAUUUACCUGAGGGGAUGUAGGCGUGGAUCGAUGAUGAACCCAAACCUCUUGAGUUCCGUGAGACCAGAUCGGCGGCUUGCUCCAUGCGGCCGGGCCGAGCCGGAGAAGUUACUCGCGGGGGAACUAAAGAACAGAAGGGAGAUGUGGCGGGGCGGGGGCUGAGGAGAGGUGCGGCAGCUGGUGGGGGUGGGAAUGGAACUCUCCUCGCCCGCCGGCUGCUCUGCUGUAGUGCGGCCCGGCGCUGCAAGGAAAGCCGGGAGAGGAACAGAGGAUGAUUGGAUCAGCCAUGGCUAUCCGCCAUAACGAGGAGAAACACACAGUGUUUCAGAGUGAGGAAUUUUGGAUCCCGGACCGCCCAAACUUUUUGCAAAAACCGAACAAACCGACCUUUUAAUAAGCUUUAAAACACUCUGAAAAAAAGCGCAUGCGUAGGGAUGCAUGCUUCAUGUCUGCUAAUUUUCAUAGCAAAACGAGUUUUUUAUUGGUGAUAUAUAAAAAAACAAAAAUAAAAAAAGUUAUAAAAAACUCAAAUCCAAGCAUAUUUCGUCAUGAAACAUUACUAACAUGUUGUAUACAUCCUUUAUGUGCAUGCUUUUGCAAUUUGUUUUACGUUUUAUAUUAACUAAAAGCAGUUAACUUCUGAAGUUUUCGAAGCUCAAGCUGUAGCUCCAUUAGCAACGUCCGAAUGCUUCCCGGCAGACGGGUCCCUCCUCGUUGCAGCCAUUGCGUCGCCGUCCAGCCUCAGUAGAGUAGGAAAGGGCAGCAAUAACAGGAGACUAAUCCAGCACGAUUCUUCACCACUUUUCCCGUCAAAACAUUCCAUGUUCCGGGUCCCGGCCUUCCUUCUGCCACCCACUACAAAUGUCGGGUAAACCAACGGGGUCGUGUAUAUUGUGCGUCCCCAAAAGGCCAAAACCACAUAACAUACAGCUCGCGGCCGGCUUAACAGUGGAGGAAGGACAAAUGAUGGUAUGGACUUUGUCCAUCGUCCUGCUAACAGAAUGAUAACCUAAUAAUCACCCACCGAUUUGUCUUAACAAAAUGAUAGGCCAACAGUACAGUACAGAGAUGAUGCUGGCUCUCCACAGAGUGUGAGCAGCCAUGUAAUAAUAAUAUAAUGCUCGAAACUGCUUUGCAUACUAUUCAUUUUCGUCGUACACCGGUACGACAAGAGUGCAAAUCUUAUGGCCCACAAACUGAAUCAUCAAUGAUUUUGUCUCUAAUCGUAAGUGUUGGACGGGGAAUCCAUCGUACGUAUAGCAAGGUCGUAUAAUGCACGCGUACUACUGUAUGUAUGUAGAUAUCACACCGAAAGUAAUUCCUUGGACAAGGCUGAGCUCUCCACGUGCAUGCAACGAGCUUAAUGACUGCCGAGUCAAACACUAACUUGCCUGUCAUGCCAACGCCACUAACCAGCUCCCAAGCGUAGAAUAAUCAUUGGUUUAUCCAUGAGCAACAUAGCAACUAGUCGAGUAAAUUACACGGUAGUACCACAAUUGGGGCGGUGGUGGCGAAUUGGUACCAAUUUUGAAAUUUUUUACGUGUCAGUACCACGUUUGGACCGAACCGUUGCAAAUCGGGCUAAACUCCGUAUUUGUACGUAUUGACGCUGGAACUAACCGCCCGGGCCCGCGCGUUAGAUGCCACGGUGGCGAAUCGGCACGCGCCCGCUCGCUCGAUAGGUGCGGUCUGGCUCGAACCGGACCGGUUCGUGCUCCACUCUGUUUCCUCCUCGCUCCUGCAUCCCUCCUCGCUCCUCUCUCGUCGCCCUCGUCACCGCCGGCAGAUUUGCCGGAGCGGAGCACCGCCGCCCGCCAUGGUUUUCGAAGACGAAAGCAGUGAGGGCACGUCCAGCCUGCCGUACAUGCACUCGACCUCAUCCACGGACGGGCUUAACCAGGUGAUUUUCCUUGAGCUAGGUCUAGGGUUAGGGUUUCAGAUUUGGGGCUUUUUGAUUUGGUUGAUUUCCCUGGGUUUUGAUUUGGGCAUUUUGAUUGUACGAGCUUCGGCAGGUCCCUUUCAGCGUUGAAGAUCUAGAUUACCAGGGGCUUGAGCUGGAAACGAUGUCGCCAUGUGAGAAGCACGGCAAGGCAUCUGAGAGGCUUGUCGCAUUUGAAGGAACGGACACAGGGAGAAGGUUCCUAGCAUGUGCAGAGCCGGUAUGAAUUCUAUGCUCAUAGUGGGAUAUUAUAUAUAGGCUGAUAAUGUCAUAUUAUUGUUGGUUUGACAGUGCCAUAUUGAACAUGAGUGAACAUGAGUACACGGCCUGAAUAUUAAGGGCAUAUUCACUUUUGCAACAGCAGUAGCUUGUGUAGUUUAAUGACAGUGGUACUGUUAUUUUGCAGUGGCAUUGUUCUUGCUAUCAUGUGAAAUAAUCAGUUUGGGGUUUCUACAAGUUUAAUGUUGCUGUUGUGGCAUUUUUAUGUAGUUGAAUGGAGUACUCAGUUGAAUGACAGUGCUACUGUUAAUUAUGUUCCUGUUACUUUUGCUCCUAUUUGGAACUAAAUAUUGAGUGAACUGUAACUUUUAUGUUGGGAUGGACCUGCUGUUAUGUAUCUAAAUGCUUGAAAUAUUCAGUUGAAUGGAUAGGAUGUACUGCAUAUGCUUUGGCAGUUCACCCAGUUUGCAGUUUGAGAUUGCUCUUGUUUUGUAGCUGAUUAGCAAAAUCUAGUUCAAAUCUGUAGCUGAGUGGUGUUGUAAUUUGUCAUGCUGUUAUUUAGUGGGUAGGUACAUCUCAAUUCCUAGUGUAGCUUAAUGGUGCUAUUAUUACCAAUGUACAGUGUUGUUGAUUUGCACUAGUUAUUUACCUGUGCUUCUGAAGUAACAUGUUUAUUUUUUUUAUCUUUUUGCCUUUCUGCAGGAAGGGCAGAAUUGUGGGUUUGUUGAAUGGGUUGAUCACCAAUGGCCCCCAACAAUGCAAAAUGCAUUGUUGAAGCUGUGGGCCAUGGUUGAAGAUAGCAAGAGUGCUAGGGUGAAUGAUAAUCUUGAAAGUUCGUUCACUAUCCACCAUCUGACAGAAGAGAAGAACAAGCUGGAGGCCAACUAUGACAAGUUAGUCCAAGAUGUGCAUGAGCUUAUGACCUUCCAGGAGGACAGGGUGGUGGAUUUCAGAUAUCUGCAGGAUAACCUUACAUAUCAGCAGCAAUGCAGAAGUGAACUGGUGGCUGAUCUGAAGGCACAGGUGGCAAAGAAAGAUGCAGAGUUUGAGAAGCUUAAGCAGAAUUAUGAAGUGCUACCGAACCUGACAAGAGCACAAGCAACAGUCAUCCAGAACUUGAAGUUGAAGCAUAUUACAGACAAGCAAUUGCUUAGUGAAGAUAAGAUGAACUUGGAGUUGAAGAAUGCAGAGCUCACAAAGUCUGAGGAGAAGCUCACCUAGGAGAAGCUAGAGUUGAAGUUUCAGGUUGCUGAUUUGCUUAAGGGAAAGGAAAAGCAUGGUGAAGAGAAGGGGCAGCUAGAGCUUCAGAUUGCUGAGCUGAUGAAGGCAGAGGAGAAGCUGGAGGAGAAGAUCAAGGGGAUUCAGGCCAUCUUAGAGAAGUGAAGAAAAUGAAUAUGAGACUAGUGGGUAAUGCUGACCUUUUGGGCAUGAUGGUUGUGUAGUGUAUGGCUCUACUAAUUGUGAACUAUGUCUGUGUAUGUAUGUAGUAGAUAUGCUUUUCAUCCUUUUGUGAGAAAAGGAUGAACUAUGCAUUUAAACUCAAACUCCACUAUGUAUUUGUGAUGGACCUGUUGUGUACCCUAUAAUAUGUUGAACUCCAGUAAGUAUUGUGUGUUAUGUUGGCUACACUUGAAAUGAUGAUAUAUCAUGCAUUGGAAGAUGGAUCAGAUAUUCUGUGCCAUGAGAUGUAGAUUAAAAGUUAUGAUUUCUCUUACAAUAGGUUAUAUAUUUUUAUAUUAGAUGAUUAUGUUAGCACUGGAAUAUUAGAUGGUUAUGUUAUAUCACUAAUGGUUAGAUUAAGGUGGUUAGAUUAAGGUGGUUCCGUCGACACCUAGCCACCAUAAACCCUAAUGGUUAGAUUACGGUGGUUCCGUCGACCCCGAGGCAUCGUAAACCCUAAUGGUUAGAUUAAGGUGGUUCUGUCGACCCCAAGCCACCGUAAACCAUCAUGGUUAGAUUAAGGUGGUUCCGUCGACCCCUAGCCACCAUAAACCCUAAUGGUUAGAUUAAGGUGGUUUCGUCGACCCCGAGGCACAGUAAACCCUAAUGGUUAGAUUAAGGUGGUUUCGUCGACCCCGAGCCACCGUAAANNNNNNNNNNNNNNNNNNNNNNNNNNNNNNNNNNNNNNNNNNNNNNNNNNNNNNNNNNNNNNNNNNNNNNNNNNNNNNNNNNNNNNNNNNNNNNNNNNNNNNNNNNNNNNNNNNNNNNNNNNNNNNNNNNNNNNNNNNNNNNNNNNNNNNNNNNNNGGUGGUUUCGUCGACCCCGAGGCACCGUAAACCCUAAUGGUUAGAUUAAGGUGGUUCCGUCGACCCCGAGCCACCGUAAACCAUCACGGUUAGGUUAAGGUGGUUCCGUCGACCCCUAGCCACCAUAAACCCUAAUGGUUAGAUUAAGGUGGUUCCGUCGACCCCGAGGCACCGUAAACCCUAAUGGUUAGAUUAAGGUGGUUCCGUCGACCCCGAGCCACCGUAAACCAUCAUGGUUAGGUUAUGGUUGGUUCAUCCACAUGGCCAAAUAGCAAAACAAUGCCAUUACAGUAUGAACAUAAACCAUCAAGUUAUCCACCCAAGUGGCAUCAAUCCAUCAACCAUCAAGUUAUCCCCAACAGAACCAUCAAGAUAUCCAUUGGCAUCAACAGAAGUUGCUUUAGUGGCAUCAAACCCAAAAGAAAACACAUUGUAGUGGCAUCAAACUCUAAAUAGUACAUCAUUGUAGCAUGAGCACAAGUUACUACAGUGGCAUCAAACCAAAAUAAAGCACAUUGUAGCAGGAGCACAAGACAUUGUAGUUUGCAUCACCUUCUGCCACCUCUACUAGCAUUGAACCAGGCCAUCCAUCUAGUGUGUGUGCCAUCAGUUGGUGGAGGAGCACUAGAAGUUGAGGCACCAUACUGCCUUGGUGCAGAGAAAGGCCUUGAAGAAUUUGCACCUCUCCCGGCAGAAGAAUGAGCACUAGAAGAUGCUCUUCCAGAUCCUCUUCCACCAGCAGCCCUUCUGAAGGAAAUAUGCCCUAGAGGCAAUAAUAAAGUUAUUAUUUAUUUCCUUAUAAUCAUGAUAAAUGUUUAUUAUUCAUGCUAGAAGUGUAUUUACCGGAAACAUAAUACAUGUGUGAAUACAUAGACAAACUAAGUGUCACUAGUAUGCCUCUACUUAACUAGCUCGUUAAUCAAAGAUGGUUAUGUUUCCUAACCAUGAACAAUGAGUUGUUAUUUGAUUAACAAGGUCACAUCAUUAGCAGAAUGAUCUGAUUGACAUGACCCAUUCCAUUAGCUUAGCACCCGAUCGUUUAGUAUGUUGCUAUUGCUUUCUUCAUGACUUAUACAUGUUCCUAUGACUAUGAGAUUAUGCAACUCCCGUUUACCGGAGGAACACUUUGGGUACUACCAAACGUCACAACGUAACUGGGUGAUUAUAAAGGAGUACUACAGGUGUCUCCAAUGGUCGAUGUUGGGUUGGCGUAUUUCGAGAUUAGGAUUUGUCACUCCGAUUGUCGGAGAGGUAUCUCUGGGCCCUCUCGGUAAUACACAUCACAUAAGCCUUGCAAGCAUUACAACUAAUAUGUUAGUUGUGAGAUGAUGUAUUAUGGAACGAGUAAAGAGACUUGCCGGUAACGAGAUUGAACUAGGUAUUGGAUACCGACGAUCGAAUUUCGGGCAAGUAACAUACCGAUGACAAAGGGAACAACGUAUGUUGUUAUGCGGUCUGACCGAUAAAGAUUUUCGUAGAAUAUGUAGGAGCCAAUAUGGGCAUCCAGGUCCCGCUAUUGGUUAUUGACCAGAGACGUGUCUCGGUCAUGUCUACAUUGUUCUCGAACCCGUAGGGUCCGCACGCUUAAGGUUACGAUGACAGUUAUAUUAUGAGUUUAUGCAUUUUGAUGUACCAAAGGUUGUUCGGAGUCCCGGAUGUGAUCACGGACAUGACGAGGAGUCUCGAAAUGGUCGAGACGUAAAGAUUGAUAUAUUGGAAGCCUAUAUUUGGAUAUCGGAAGUGUUCCAGGUGAAAUCGGGAUUUUACCGAAAUACCGGGAGGGUUACCGGAACCCCCCGGGAGCUAUUUGGGCCAUAGUGGGCCUUAGUGGANNNNNNNNNNGUUACGAUGACAGUUAUAUUAUGAGUUUAUGCAUUUUGAUGUACCGAAGGUUGUUCGGAGUCCCGGAUGUGAUCACAGACAUGACGAGGAGUCUCGAAAUGGUCGAGACGUAAAGAUUGAUAUAUUGGAAGCCUAUAUUUGGAUAUCGGAAGUGUUCCGGGUGAAAUCGGGAUUUUACCGGAAUACCGAGAGGGUUACCGGAACCCCCCGGGAGCUAUUUGGGCCAUAGUGGGCCUUAGUGGAAAAGAGAAGGGGCUGCCCUAGAUGGGCUGCGCGCCCCCCCUUCCCCUAGUCCUAUUAGGACUAGGAGAGGUGGCCGGCCCCCUCCUCCUCUUUUCCCCUCCGAGGAAUCCUAGUUGGACUAGGAUUGGAGGGGGAAUCCUACUCCCAGAGGGAGUAGGACUCUCCUGCGCCUCCCCCCCUUGGCCGGCCAGCCUCCCCUCCUCUCCUCCUUUAUAUACGGAGGCAGGGGCACCUCUAAACACAGAAGUUGACACAAGUUGAUCCACAUGAUCUAUUCCUUAGCCGUGUGCGGUGCCCCCUGCCACCAUAUUCCUCGAUAAUACUGUAGCGGAGUUUAGGCGAAGCCCUGCUGCUAUAGUUCAUCAAGAUCGUCACCACGCCGUCGUGCUGACGAAACUCUUCCCCAACACUUUGCUGGAUCGGAGUCCGGGGAUCAUCAUCGAGCUGAACGUGUGCUCGAACUCGGAGGUGCCGUAGUUUCGGUGCUUGAUCGGUUGGAUCGAGAAGACGUACGACUACUUCCUCUACAUUGUGUCAUCGCUUCCGCAGUCGGUCUGCGUUGGGUACGUAGACAAUACUCUCCCCUCGUUGCUAUGCAUCACAUGAUCUUGCGUGUGCGUAGGAAAUUUUUUGAAAUUACUACGAAACCCAACAGUGGCAUCCGAGCCUAGGUUAUUUAUGUUGAUGUUAUAUGCACGAGUAGAACACAAGUGAGUUGUGGACGAUACAAGUCAUACUGCCUACCAGCAUGUCAUACUUUGGUUCGGCGGUAUUGUUGGACGAGACGACCCGGACCAACCUUACGCGUACGCUUACGCGAGACCGGUUCCCUCGACGUGCUUUGCACAGAGAUGGCUUGCGGGCGACUGUCUCUCCAACUUUAGUUGAACCAAGUAUGGCUACGCCCGGUCCUUGCGAAGGUUAAAAUGGAGUCUAUUUGACAAACUAUCAUUGUGGUUUUGAUGCGUAGGUGAGAUUGGUUCUUACUUAAUCCCGUAGCAGCCACGUAAAACAUGCAACAACAAAGUAGAGGACGUCUAACUUGUUUUUGCAGGGCAUGUUGUGAUGUGAUAUGGUCAAGGCAUGAUGCUGAAUUUUAUUGUAUGAGAUGAUCAUGUUUUGUAACCAAGUUAUCGGCAACUGGCAGGAGCCAUAUGGUUGUCGCUUUAUUGUAUGCAAUGCAAUCGCGAUGUAAUGCUUUACUUUAUUACUAAACGGUAGUGAUAGUCGUGGAAGCAUAAGAUUGGCGAGAUGACAACGAUGCUACGAUGGAGAUCAAGGUGUCGCGCCGGUGUCGAUGGUGAUCAUGACGGUGCUUCGGAGAUGGAGAUCACAAGCACAAGAUGAUGAUGACCAUAUCAUAUCACUUAUAUUGAUUGCAUGUGAUGUUUAUCUUUUUAUGCAUCUUAUCUUGCUUUGAUUGACGGUAGCAUUAUAAGAUGAUCUCUCACUAAAUUAUCAAGAAGUGUUCUCCCUGAGUAUGCACCGUUGCCAAAGUUCGUCGUGCCCAGACACCACGUGAUGAUCGGGUGUGAUAAGCUCUACGUUCAUCUACAACGGGUGCAAGCCAGUUUUUGCACACGCAGAAUACUCAGGUUAAACUUGACGAGCCUAGCAUAUGCAGAUAUGGCCUCGGAACACGGAGACCGAAAGGUCGAGCGUGAAUCAUAUAGUAGAUAUGAUCAACAUAACGAUGUUCACCAUUGAAAACUACUCCAUCUCACGUGAUGAUCGGUCAUGGUUUAGUUGAUUUGGAUCACGUAAUCACUUAGAGGAUUAGAGGGAUGUCUAUCUAAGUGGGAGUUCUUAAAUAAUAUGAUUAAUUGAACUUAAAUUUAUCAUGAACUUAGUACCUGAUAGUAUCUUGCUUGUUUAUGUUGAUUGUAGAUAGAUGGCUCGUGCUGUUGUUCCGUUGAAUUUUAAUGCGUUCCUUGAGAAAGCAAAGUUGAAAGAUGAUGGUAGCAAUUACACGGACUGGGUCCGUAACUUGAGGAUUAUCCUCAUUGCUGCACAGAAAAAUUACGUCCUGGAAGCACCGCUGGGUGCCAGGCCUGCUGCUGGAGCAACACCAGAUGUUAUGAACGUCUGGCAGAGCAAAGCUGAUGACUACUUGAUAGUUCAGUGUGCCAUGCUUUACGGCUUAGAAUCGGGACUUCAACAACGUUUUGAACGUCAUGGAGCAUAUGAGAUGUUCCAGGAGUUGAAGUUAAUAUUUCAAGCAAAUGCCCGAAUUGAGAGAUAUGAAGUCUCCAAUAAGUUCUAUAGCUGCAAGAUGGAGGAGAAUAGUUCUGUCAGUGAGCAUAUACUCAAAAUGUCUGGGUAUAAUAAUCACUUGAUUCAAUUGGGAGUUAAUCUUCCGGAUGAUUGCGUCAUUGACAGAAUUCUCCAAUCACUGCCACCAAGCUACAAGAGCUUCGUGAUGAACUAUAAUAUGCAAGGGAUGAACAAGACUAUUCCCGAGCUCUUCGCAAUGCUGAAAGCUGCGGAGGUAGAAAUCAAAAAGGAGCAUCAAGUGUUGAUGGUUAACAAAACCACUAGUUUCAAGAAAAAGGGCAAAGGAAAGAAGAAAGGGAACUUCAAGAAGAACAGCAAGCCAGUUGCUGCUCAAGAGAAGAAACCCAAGUCUGGACCUAAGCCUGAAACUGAGUGCUUCUACUGCAAGCAGACUGGUCACUGGAAGCGGAACUGUCCCAAGUAUUUGGCGGAUAAGAAGGAUGGCAAGGUGAACAAAGGUAUAUGUGAUAUACAUGUUAUUGAUGUGUACCUUACUAGAUCUCGCAGUAGCACCUGGGUAUUUGAUACUGGUUCUGUUGCUAAUAUUUGCAACUCGAAACAGGGACUACGAAAUAAGCGGGCACUGGCAAAGGACGAGGUGACGAUGCGCGUGGGAAACGGUUCCAAAGUCGAUGUGAUCGCAGUCGGCACGCUACCUCUACAUCUACCUUCGGGAUUAAUAUUAGACCUAAGUAAUUGUUAUUUGGUGCCAGCGUUGAGCAUGAACAUUAUAUCUGGAUCUUGUUUAAUGCGAGACGGUUAUUCAUUUAAAUCAAAGAAUAAUGAUUGUUCUAUUUAUAUGAGUAAUAUCUUUUAUGGUCAUGCACCCUUGAAGAGUGGUCUAUUCUUAUUGAAUCUCGAUAGUAGUAAUACACAUAUUCAUAAUGUUGAAGCCAAAAGAUGCAGAGUUGAUAAUGAAAGUGCAACUUAUUUGUGGCACUGUCGUUUAAGUCAUAUCGGUAUAAAGCGCAUGAAGAAACUCCAUGCUGAUGGACUUUUGGAACCACUUGAUUAUGAAUCACUUGGUACUUGCGAACCGUGCCUCAUGGGCAAGAUGACUAAAACACCGUUCUCCGGUACUAUGGAGAGAGCAACAGAUUUGUUGGAAAUCAUACAUACCGAUGUAUGUGGCCCGAUGAAUAUUGAGGCUCAUGGCGGAUAUUGUUAUUUUCUCACCUUCACAGAUGAUUUAAGCAGAUAUGGGUAUAUCUACUUAAGAAAACAUAAGUCUGAAACAUUUGAAAAGUUCAAAGAAUUUCAAAGUGAAGUUGAAAAUCAUCGUAACAAGAAAAUAAAGUUUCUACGAUCUGAUCGUGGAGGAGAAUAUUUGAGUUACGAGUUUGGUGUACAUUUGAAAAACUGUGGAAUAGUUUCGCAACUCACGCCACCCGGAACACCACAGCGUAAUGGUGUGUCCGAACGUCGUAAUCGUACUUUACUAGAUAUGGUGCGAUCUAUGAUGUCUCUUACUGAUUUACCGCUAUCAUUUUGGGGAUAUGCUUUAGAGACGGCCGCAUUCACGUUAAAUAGGGCACCAUCAAAAUCCGUUGAGACGACGCCUUAUGAACUGUGGUUUGGCAAGAAACCAAAGUUGUCGUUUCUUAAAGUUUGGGGCUGCGAUGCUUAUAUGAAAUAGCUUCAACCUGAUAAGCUCGAACCCAAAUCGGAGAAAUGUGUCUUCAUAGGAUACCCAAAGGAAACUGUUGGGUACACCUUCUAUCACAGAUCCGAAGGCAAGACAUUCGUUGCUAAGAAUGGAUCAUUUCUAGAGAAGGAGUUUUCUCUCGAAAGAAGUGAGUGGGAGGAAAGUAGAACUUGACGAGGUAACUGUACCUGCUCCUUUACUGGAAAGUAGUUCAUCACAGAAAACUGUUUCAGUGACACCUACACCAGUUAGUGAGGAAGCCAAUGAUAAUGAUCAUGAAACUUCAGAUCAAGAUACUACUGAACCUCGUAGAUCAACCAGAGUAAGAUCCGCACCAGAGUGGUACGGUAAUCCUGUUCUGGAGGUCAUGCUACUAGAUCAUGAUGAACCUACGAACUAUGAAGAAGCGAUGGUGAGCCCAGAUUCCGCAAAGUGGCUUGAAGCCAUGAAAUCUGAGAUGGGAUCCAUGUAUGAGAACAAAGUAUGGACUUUGGUUGACUUGCCCGAUGAUCGGCAAGCAAUUGAGAAUAAAUGGAUCUUUAAGAAGAAGACUGACGCUGAUGGUAAUGUUACUGUCUACAAAGCUCGACUUGUCGCAAAAGGUUUUCGGCAAGUUCAAGGGAUUGACUACGAUGAGACCUUCUCACCCGUAGCAAUGCUUAAGUCCGUCCAAAUCAUGUUAGCAAUUGCCGCAUUUUAUGAUUAUGAAAUUUGGCAGAUGGAUGUCAAAACUGCAUUCCUGAAUGGAUUUCUGGAAGAAGAGUUGUAUAUGAUGCAACCAGAAGGUUUUGUCGAUCCAAAGGGAGCUAACAAAGUGUGCAAGCUCCAGCGAUCCAUUUAUGGACUGGUGCAAGCCUCUCGGAGUUGGAAUAAACGUAUUGAUAGUGUGAUCAAAGCAUUUGGUUUUAUACAGACUUUCGGAGAAGCCUGUAUUUACAAGAAAGUGAGUGGGAGCUCUGUAGCAUUUCUGAUAUUAUAUGUGGAUGACAUAUUACUAAUUGGAAAUGAUAUAGAAUUUCUGGAUAGCAUAAAGGGAUACUUGAAUAAAAGUUUUUCAAUGAAAGACCUCGGUGAAGCUGCUUACAUAUUAGGCAUUAAGAUCUAUAGAGAUAGAUCAAGACGCUUAAUUGGACUUUCACAAAGCACAUACCUUGACAAAAUUUUGAAGAAAUUCAAAAUGGAUCAAGCAAAGAAAGGAUUCUUGCCUGUAUUACAAGGUGUGAAAUUGAGUAAGACUCAAUGCCCGACCACUUCAGAAGAUAGAGAGAAUAUGAAAGAUGUUCCCUAUGCAUCAGCCAUAGGCUCUAUCAUGUAUGCAAUGCUGUGUACCAGACCUGAUGUGUGCCUUGCUAUAAGUUUAGCAGGGAGGUACCAAAGUAAUCCAGGAGUGGAUCACUGGACAGCGGUCAAGAACAUCCUGAAAUACCUGAGAAGGACUAAGGAUAUGUUUCUCGUAUAUGGAGGUGACAAAGAGCUCACCGUAAAAGGUUACGUUGAUGCAAGCUUUGACACUGAUCCGGACGAUCCUAAAUCGCAAACCGGAUACGUGUUUACAUUAAACGGUGGAGCUGUCAGUUGGUGCAGUUCUAAACAAAGCGUUGUAGCGGGAUCUACAUGUGAAGCGGAAUACAUAGCUGCUUCGGAAGCAGCAAAUGAAGGAGUCUGGAUGAAGGAGUUCAUAUCCGAUCUAGGUGUCAUACCUAGUGCAUCGGGUCCAAUGAAAAUCUUUUGUGACAAUACUGGUGCAAUUUCCUUGGCAAAGGAAUCCAGAUUUCACAAAAGGACCAAACACAUCAAGAGACGCUUCAACUCCAUCCGGGAUCUAGUCCAGGUGGGAGACAUAGAGAUUUGCAAGAUACAUACGGAUCUGAAUGUUGCAGACCCAUUGACUAAACCUCUUCCACGAGCAAAACAUGAUCAGCACCAAGGCUCCAUGGGUGUUAGAAUCAUUACAGUGUAAUCUAGAUUAUUGACUCUAGUGCAAGUGGGAGACUGAAGGAAAUAUGCCCUAGAGGCAAUAAUAAAGUUAUUAUUUAUUUCCUUAUAAUCAUGAUAAAUGUUUAUUAUUCAUGCUAGAAGUGUAUUUACCGGAAACAUAAUACAUGUGUGAAUACAUAGACAAACUAAGUGUCACUAGUAUGCCUCUACUUAACUAGCUCGUUAAUCAAAGAUGGUUAUGUUUCCUAACCAUGAACAAUGAGUUGUUAUUUGAUUAACGAGGUCACAUCAUUAGCAGAAUGAUCUGAUUGACAUGACCCAUUCCAUUAGCUUAGCACCCGAUCGUUUAGUAUGUUGCUAUUGCUUUCUUCAUGACUUAUACAUGUUCCUAUGACUAUGAGAUUAUGCAACUCCCGUUUACCGGAGGAACACUUUGGGUACUACCAAACGUCACAACGUAACUGGGUGAUUAUAAAGGAGUACUACAGGUGUCUCCAAUGGUCGAUGUUGGGUUGGCGUAUUUCGAGAUUAGGAUUUGUCACUCCGAUUGUCGGAGAGGUAUCUCUGGCCCUCUCGGUAAUACACAUCACAUAAGCCUUGCAAGCAUUACAACUAAUAUGUUAGUUGUGAGAUGAUGUAUUACGGAACGAGUAAAGAGACUUGCCGGUAACGAGAUUGAACUAGGUAUUGGAUACCGACGAUUGAAUCUCGGGCAAGUAACAUACCGAUGACAAAGGGAACAACGUAUGUUGUUAUGCGGUCUGACCGAUAAAGAUCUUCGUAGAAUAUGUAGGAGCCAAUAUGGGCAUCCAGUUCCCGCUAUUGGUUAUUGACCAGAGACGUGUCUCGGUCAUGUCUACAUUGUUCUCGAACCCGUAGGGUCCGCACGCUUAAGGUUACGAUGACAGUUAUAUUAUGAGUUUAUGCAUUUUGAUGUACCGAAGGUUGUUCGGAGUCCCGGAUGUGAUCACAGACAUGACGAGGAGUCUCGAAAUGGUCGAGACGUAAAGAUUGAUAUAUUGGAAGCCUAUAUUUGGAUAUCGGAAGUGUUCCGGGUGAAAUCGGGAUUUUACCGGAAUACCGAGAGGGUUACCGGAACCCCCCGGGAGCUAUUUGGGCCAUAGUGGGCCUUAGUGGAAAAGAGAAGGGGCUGCCCUAGAUGGGCUGCGCGCCCCCCCUUCCCCUAGUCCUAUUAGGACUAGGAGAGGUGGCCGGCCCCCUCCUCCUCUUUUCCCCUCCGAGGAAUCCUAGUUGGACUAGGAUUGGAGGGGGAAUCCUACUCCCAGAGGGAGUAGGACUCUCCUGCGCCUCCCCCCCUUGGCCGGCCAGCCUCCCCUCCUCUCCUCCUUUAUAUACGGAGGCAGGGGCACCUCUAAACACAGAAGUUGACACAAGUUGAUCCACGUGAUCUAUUCCUUAGCCGUGUGCGGUGCCCCCUGCCACCAUAUUCCUCGAUAAUACUGUAGCAGAGUUUAGGCGAAGCCCUGCUGCUGUAGUUCAUCAAGAUCGUCACCACGCCGUCGUGCUGACGAAAGUCUUCCCCGACACUUUGCUGGAUCGGAGUCCGGGGAUCAUCAUCGAGCUGAACGUGUGCUCGAACUCGGAGGUGCCGUAGUUUCGGUGCUUGAUCGGUUGGAUCGAGAAGACGUACGACUACUUCCUCUACGUCGUGUCAUCGCUUCCGCAGUCGGUCUGCGUUGGGUACGUAGACAAUACUCUCCCCUCGUUGCUAUGCAUCACAUGAUCUUGCGUGUGCGUAGGAAAUUUUUUGAAAUUACUACGAAACCCAACACCUUCUUCCCGCACCUCUACCAGCACCACUUCCACCACCUCUACCAGCAGCACUUCCAGUUUUUCCACCUGGUGUUGGAGCAGGAGCCCUAGUUGUUGCAGGUGGAGCAGCUCUUGGUGUUGGUGCAGGAGCUGUAGGUGUUGGUGCAGGAGCCCUAGUUGUUGGUGCAGGAGAUCUAGCUGUUGCUGAAGCAGCUCUAGGUGUUGUUGCAGGAGCUGUAGGAGCAACACCUCUUGCUUGUGAAUUCCUUCCAGCAGGCUUGGAAAACAAUUCAAAGGAAAGACAGUUAAUAAUACUACAAAUAAGAAAGGUAAUUUACAGAAACAUCAAAAUGAAGAACUAGUACAAAGGGCCUUACCACAUGUUUGUUCUUUCUUAAGGCCAACUCAGGUUUCAACUGUUUAAGGCAGCUUGUGUAUUUAUGCCCUUGUAAUCCAUAAUUGCUAUAAGUUAUUGUCCCCAUUCUUGAGGUGGACUUUGGCUUUGGAACUUCAAAUUUUCCCUUUAUUCUCUUCUCUUUCCUUCUUCCUUUCUUCACUUUAAAUGCUGGUGGUGUUGGAAAUAUGCCCUAGAGGCAAUAAUAAAAGUAUUAUUAUUAUAUUUCCUUGUUCAUGAUAAUUGUCUUUUAUUCAUGCUAUAACUGUAUUAUCCGGAAAUCGUAAUACACGUGUGAAUACAUAGACCACAAUAUGUCCCUAGUGAGCCUCUAGUUGACUAGCUCGUUGUGAUCAACAGAUAGUCAUGGUUUCCUGGCUAUGGACAUUGGAUGUCGUUGAUAACGGAUCACAUCAUUAGGAGAAUGAUGUGAUGGACAAGACCCAAUCCUAAGACUAGCACAAAAGAUCGUGUAGUUCAUUUGCUAGAGCUUUGCCAAUGUCAAGUAUCUCUUCCUUCGACCAUGAGAGCGUGUAACUCCUGGAUACCGUAGGAGUGCUUUGGGUGUAUCAAACGUCACAACGUAACUGGGUGACUAUAAAGGUGCACUACAGGUAUCUCCGAAAGUAUCUAUUGUUUUAUGCGGAUCGAGACUGGGAUUUGUCACUCCUUGUAAAUGGAGAGGUAUCUCUGGGCCCACUCGGUAGGACAUCAUCAUAUGCGCAAUGUGACCAAGGAGUUGAUCACGGGAUGAUGUGUUACGGAACGAGUAAAGUGACUUGCCGGUAACGAGAUUGAACAAGGUAUUGGAUACCGACGAUCGAAUCUCGGGCAAGUAACAUACCGAUAGACAAAGGGAAUUGAAUACGGGAUUGAUGAAGGCCUUGACAUCGUGGUUCAUCCGAUGAGAUCAUCGUGGAACAUGUGGGAGCCAUCAUGGGUAUCCAGAUCCCGCUGUUGGUUAUUGACCGGAGAACGUCUCGGUCAUGUCUACAUGUCUCUCGAACCCGUAGGGUCUACACACUUAAGGUUCGAUGACGCUAGGGUUAUAAAGGAAGUUUGUAUGUGGUUACCGAAUGUUGUUCGGAGUCCCGGAUGAGAUCCCGGACGUCACGAGGAGUUCCGGAAUGGUCCGGAGGUAAAGAUUUAUAUAUGGGAAGUCCUAUUUUGGCCACCGGAAAAUGUUCGGGAUUUUUCGGUAUUGUACCGGGAAGGUUCUAGAAGGUUCCGGAGUGGGGCCCACCUGCAUGGGGGGACCCACAUGGACGUGGGUAGUGGGGGAAAGGCCCCACACCCCUGGUCAAGGCGCACCAAGAUCCCCCCUUAGAAGGAAUAAGAUCAUAUCCCGAAGGGAUAAGAUCAAGAUCCCUAAAAAGGGGGGAUAACAAUCGGUGGGGAAGGAAAUAAUGAGAUUUCUUUCCUCCCACCUUGGCCAACGCCCCAAUGGACUUGGAGGGCAAGAAACCAGCCCCUCCACCCCUAUAUAUAGUGGGGAGGCGCAUGGGAGCUAUACACGAAGUUCUGGCGCAGCCCUCCCCCUCUCACAAGUUCUCCUCUCCCGUGGUGCUUGGCGAAGCCCUGCAGGAUUGCCACGCUCCUCCACCACCACCACGCCGUCGUGCUGCUGCUGGACGGAGUCUUCCCCAACCUCUCCCUCUCUCCUUGCUUGAUCAAGGCGUGGGAGACGUCACCGGACUGUACGUGUGUUGAACGCGGAGGUGCCGUCCGUUCGGCACUAGGAUCUCCGGUGAUUUGGAUCACGACGAGUACGACUCCUUCAACCCCGUUCUCUUGAACGCUUCCGCUUAGCGAUCUACAAGGGUAUGUAGAUGCACUCUCCUUCCCCUCGUUGCUGGUUUCUCCAUAGAUAGAUCUUGGUGACACGUAGGAAAAUUUUGAAUUUCUGCUACGUUCCCCAACAGUGGCAUCAUGAGCUAGGUCUAUUGCGUAGAUUCUUUGCACGAGUAGAACACAAAGUAGUUGUGGGCGUUGAUGUUGUUCAAUAUGCUUACCGUUACUAGUCCAAUCUUGUUUCGACGGUAUUGUGGGAUGAAGCGGCCUGGACCGACCUUACACGUACUCUUACGUGAGACAGGUUCCACCGAUUGACAUGCACUUGGUGCAUAAGGUGGCUAGCGGGUGCCAGUCUCUCCCACUUUAGUCGGAACGGAUUCGAUGAAAAGGGUCCUUAUGAAGGGUAAAUAGCAAUUGGCAUAUCACGUUGUGGUUUUGCGUAGGUAAGAAACGUUCUUGCUAGAAACCCAUAGCAGCCACAUAAAACAUGCAAACAACAAUUAGAGGACGUCUAACUUGUUUUUGCAGGGUAUGCUAUGUGAUGUGAUAUGGCCAAAAGGAUGUGAUGAAUGAUAUAUGUGAUGUAUGAGAUUGAUCAUGUUCUUGUAAUAGGAUUCACGACUUGCAUGUCGAUGAGUAUGACAACCGGCAGGAGCCAUAGGAGUUGUCUUAAUUUAUUGUAUGACCUGCGUGUCAUUGAAGAACGCCAUGUAACUUACUUUACUUUAUUGCUAAACGCGUUAGCCAUAGAAGUAGAAGUAGUCGUUGGCGUGACAACUUCAUGAAGACACGAUGAUGGAGAUCAUGAUGAUGGAGAUCAUGGUGUCAUGCCGGUGACGAUGAUGAUCAUGGAGCCCCGAAGAUGAAGAUCAAAAGGAGCAAAAUGAUAUUGGCCAUAUCAUGUCACUAUUUGAUUGCAUGUGAUGUUUAUUAUGAUUAUGCAUCUUGUUUACUUAGGACGACGGUAGUAAAUAAGAUGAUCCCUUACAAAAUUUCAAGAAGUGUUUGUUGGAAAUAUGCCCUAGAGGCAAUAAUAAAAGUAUUAUUAUUAUAUUUCCUUGUUCAUGAUAAUUGUCUUUUAUUCAUGCUAUAACUGUAUUAUCCGGAAAUCGUAAUACACGUGUGAAUACAUAGACCACAAUAUGUCCCUAGUGAGCCUCUAGUUGACUAGCUCAUUGUGAUCAACAGAUAGUCAUGGUUUCCUGGCUAUGGACAUUGGAUGUCGUUGAUAACGGGAUCACAUCAUUAGGAGAAUGAUGUGAUGGACAAGACCCAAUCCUAAGACUAGCACAAAAGAUCGUGUAGUUCAUUUGCUAGAGCUUUGCCAAUGUCAAGUAUCUCUUCCUUCGACCAUGAGAGCGUGUAACUCCUGGAUACCGUAGGAGUGCUUUGGGUGUAUCAAACGUCACAACGUAACUGGGUGACUAUAAAGGUGCACUACAGGUAUCUCCGAAAGUAUCUAUUGUUUUAUGCGGAUCGAGAGUGGGAUUUGUCACUCCGUGUAAACGGAGAGGUAUCUCUGGGCCCACUCGGUAGGACAUCAUCAUAUGCGCAAUGUGACCAAGGAGUUGAUCACGGGAUGAUGUGUUACGGAACGAGUAAAGUGACUUGCCGGUAACGAGAUUGAACAAGGUAUUGGAUACCGACGAUCGAAUCUCGGGCAAGUAACAUACCGAUAGACAAAGGGAAUUGAAUACAGGAUUGAUUAAGUCCUUGACAUCGUGGUUCAUCCGAUGAGAUCAUCGUGGAACAUGUGGGAGCCAUCAUGGGUAUCCAGAUCCCGCUGUUGGUUAUUGACCGGAGAACGUCUCGGUCAUGUCUACAUGUCUCCCGAACCCGUAGGGUCUACACACUUAAGGUUCGAUGAUGCUAGGGUUAUAAAGGAAGUUUGUAUGUGGUUACCGAAUGUUGUUCGGAGUCCCGGAUGAGAUCCCGGACGUCACGAGGAGUUCCGGAAUGGUCCGGAGGUAAAGAUUUAUAUAUGGGAAGUCCUAUUUUGGCCACCGGAAAAUGUUCGAGAUUUUUCGGUAUUGUACCGGGAAGGUUCUAGAAGGUUCCGGAGUGGGGCCCACCUGCAUGGGGGGACCCACAUGGACGUGGGUAGUGGGGGCAAGGCCCCACACCCCUGGUCAAGGCGCACCAAGAUCCCCCCUUAGAAGGAAUAAGAUCAUAUCCCGAAGGGAUAAGAUCAAGAUCCCUAAAAAGGGGGGAUAACAAUCGGUGGGGAAGGAAAUAAUGAGAUUUCUUUCCUCCCACCUUGGCCAACGCCCCAAUGGACUUGGAGGGCAAGAAACCAGCCCCUCCACCCCUAUAUAUAGUGGGGAGGCGCAUGGGAGCUAUACACGAAGUUCUGGCACAACCCUACCUCUCUUCCUACUCCUCCUCUCCCAUGGUGCUUGGCGAAGCCCUGCUGGAUUGCCACGCUCCUCCACCACCACCACGCCGUUGUGCUGCUGUUGGAUGGAGUCUUCCUCAACCUCUCCCUCUCUCCUUGCUGGAUCAAGGCGUGGGAGACAUCACCGGGCUGUACGUGUGUUGAACGCGGAGGUGCCGUCCGUUCGGCACUAGGAUCAUCGGUGAUUUGAAUCACGACGAGUACGACUCCAUCAACCCCGUUCACUUGAACGCUUCCGCUUAGCGAUCUACAAGGGUAUGUAGAUGCACUCUCUUUCUACUCGUUGCUGGUCUCUCCGUAGAUAGAUCUUGGUGACACGUAGGAAAAUUUUGAAUUUCUGCUACGUUCCCCAACAGUGGCAUCAUGAGCUAGGUCUAUUGCGUAGAUUCUUUGCACGAGUAGAACACAAAGUAGUUGUGGGCGUUGAUGUUGUUCAAUAUGCUUACCGUUACUAGUCCAAUCUUGUUUCGACGGUAUUGUGGGAUGAAGCGGCCCGGACCGACCUUACACGUACUCUUACGUGAGACAGGUUCCACCGAUUGACAUGCACUUGGUGCAUAAGGUGGCUAGCGGGUGCCAGUCUCUCCCACUUUAGUCGGAACGGAUUCGAUGAAAAGGGUCCUUAUGAAGGGUAAAUAGCAAUUGGCAUAUCACGUUGUGGUCUUGCGUAGGUAAGAAACGUUCUUGCUAGAAACCCAUAGCAGCCACGUAAAACAUGCAACAACAAUUAGAGGACGUCUAACUUGUUUUUGCAGGGUAUGCUAUGUGAUGUGAUAUGGCCAAGAAGAAUGUGAUGAAUGAUAUGUGAUGUAUGAGAUUGAUCAUAUUCUUGUAAUAGGAUUCACGACUUGCAUGUCGAUGAGUAUGACAACCGGCAGGAGCCAUAGGAGUUGUCUUUAUUUAUUGUAUGACCUGCGUGUCAUUGAAGAACGCCAUGUAAACUACUUUACUUUAUUGCUAAACGCGUUAGUCAUAGAAGUAGAAGUAGUCAUUGGCGUGACAACUUCAUGAAUACACGAUGAUGGAGAUCAUGGUGUCGUGCCGGUGACGAUGAUGAUCAUGGAGCCCCGAAGAUGAAGAUCAAAAGGAGCAAAAUGAUAUUGGCCAUAUCAUGUCACUAUUUGAUUGCAUGUGAUGUUUAUCAUGUUUAUGCAUCUUGUUUGCUUAGGACGACGGUAGUAAAUAAGAUGAUCCCUUACAAAAUUUCAAGAAGUGUUCUCCCCUAAUUGUGCACCGUUGCUACAGUUCGUCGCUUCUAAGCACCACGUGAUGAUCGGGUGUGAUGGAUUCUUACGUUCACAUACAACGGGUGUAAGACAGUUUUACACAGCGAAAACACUUAGGGUUAACUUGACGAGCCUAGCAUGUGCAGACAUGGCCUUGGAACACGGAGACCGAAAGGUCGAGCAUGAGUCGUAUGGUAGAUACGAUCAACAUGAAGAUGUUCACCGAUGAUGACUAGUCCGUCUCACGUGAUGAUCGGACACGGCCUAGUUGACUCGGAUCAUGUGAUCACUUAGAUGACCAGAGGGAUGUCUAUCUAAGUGGGAGUUCAUAAGAUGAACUUAAUUAUCCUGAACAUAGUCAAAAGACCUUUUGCAAAUUAUGUCGUAAGCUCGCGCUUUAGUUCCACUAUUUAGAUAUGUUCCUAGAGAAAAUAUAGUUGAAAGUUGAUAGUAGCGAUUAUGCGAUCAGUAGAAAGCUUAUGUCCUUAAUGCACCGCUCAGUGUGCUGAACCCCAACGUCGUUUGUCGAUGUUGUGAACAUCGGACAUACACGUUUUGAUAAGUACGUGAUAGUUCAAUUAAAUGGUUUAAGUAGAGGCACCAAAGACGUUUUCGAAACGUCGCGGAACAUAUGAGAUGUUUCGAGGGCUGAAAUUGGGAUUUCAGGCUCGUGCCCACGUCAAGAGGUAUAAGACCUCCGACGAUUUUCUUAGCCUGCAAACUAAGGGAGAAAAGCUAAAUCGUUGAGCUUGUGCUCAGAUUGUCUGAGCACAACAAUCACUUGAAUCGAGUGGGAGUUGAUCCUCCAGAUGAGAUAGUGAUGUUUCCCCAAAGUCAUUGCCACCAAGCUGCUAGAGCUUCGUGAUUAACUAUAACAUAUCAGGGAUAGAUAUGAUAAUCCUUGAAAUAUUCAUGAUGUUUGACACCGCGAAAGUAGAAAUUAAGAAGGAGCAUCAAUUGUUGAUGGUUGGUGAAACCACUAGUUUCAAGAAGGACAAGGGAACAAAGGGAUACUUCAUGAAACGGCAAUUCAGCUGCUGCUCUAGUGAAGAAACCCAAGGUUGAACCCAAACCCGAGACUAAGUGCUUCUGUAAUAAGGGGAACAACCACUGGAGCAGCAUUACCUUAGAUACUUGGUAGAUGAGAAGGCUGGCAAGGUCGAUAGAAGUAUAUUGGAUAUACAUUAUGUUAAUGUGUACUUUACUAGUACUCCUAGUAGCACCAGGGUAUUGGAUACCGGUUCGGUUGCUAAGUGUUAGUAACUCGAAAUAAAAGCUACGGAAUAAACGGAGACUAGCUAAAGGUGAGCUGACGAUAUAUGUUGGAAGUGUUUCCAAGGUUGAUAUGAUCAAGCAUCGCACGCUCCCUCUACCACCGAGAUUGGUGUUUGCGUUGAGCAUAGACAUGAUUGGAUUAUGUCUAUCGCAAUACGGUUAUUCAUUUAAGGAGAAUAAUGGUUACUCUAUUUUUGAAUAAUACCUUCAAUGGUCUUGCACCUAAAGGAAUGGUUUAUUGAAUCUCGGUCGUAGUGAUACACAUUUUCAUGCCAAAAGAUAUAAGAUAGUAAUGAUAGUACCAUUACUUGUGGCACUGCCAUGUAAGUCAUAAUGGUAUAAAACGCAUGAAGAAGCUCCAUGUUGAUGGAUCUUUGGACUCACUCGUUUUGAAAAGUUUGAGACAUGCGAACCAUGUCUAUUGGUGUAUAUGCAUGAAGAAACUCCAUGCAAAUGGACCGUUUGGACUCACUUGAUUUUGAAUCACUUGAGAUAUGCAAAUCAUACCACAUGGGCAAGAUGACUGAAAAGCCUCGUUUUCAGUAAGAUGGAACAAGAUAGCAACUUGUUGGAAGUAACACAUUUUGAUGUGUCCAAUCCAAUGAGUGCUGAGGCAUGCAGUGAAUAUCGUUAUGAUCUUACUUCACAGAUGAUUCGAGUAGAUGUUGAGAAUAUUUACUUGAUGAAACACAAGUCUGAAUUAUUGAAUGGUUCAAGUAAUUUCAGAGUGAAGUAGAAGAUCAUUGUGAUAAGAGGAUAAAAUGUCUAUGAUAUGAUCAUAGAGAUGAAUAUCUGAGUUACGAGUUUUGGCACACAAUUAAGACAUUGUGGAAAUUGUUUCGCAAUUAAUACCGCCUGGAACACCAUAAUGUGAUGGUGUGUCCGAACAUCAUAGUUGCACCCUAUUGGAUAUGGUGCGUACCAUGAUGUCUCUUAUCGAAUUACCACUAUCGUUCAUGGGUUAGGCAUUAGAGACAACCACAUUCACUUUAAAUAGGGCACCACGUAAUUCCGAUGAGAUGACACCGUAUGAAUUAUGGUUUAGAGAAACCUAAGUUGUCGUUUCUUAAAAGUUUGGGGCUGCGACGCUUAUAUGAAAAAGUUUCAGGUUGAUAAGCUCGAACCCAAAGCGGAUAAAAUGCAUCUUCAUAGGAAACCCAAAACAGUUGGGUAUACCUCCUAAUUCAGAUCCGAAAGCAAUAUGGAUUGUUUCUAGAAUCGGGUCCUUUCUCGAGGAAAAGUUUCUCUCGAAAGAAUUGAGUGGGAGGAUGGUGGAGACUUGAUGAGGUUAUUGAACCGUCUCUUCAACUAGUGUGUGACAGGGCACAGGGAGUUGUUCCUAUGGCACCUACACCAAUUGAAGUGGAAGCUUAUGAUAUUGAUCAUGAAACUUCGGAUCAAGUCACUCCCAAACCUCGUAGGAUGACAAUGAUGCGUACUACUUCAGAGUGGUACAUAAUCAUGUCUUGAAGGCCAUGUUGCUAGACAACAAUGAACCUACGAGCUAUGGAGAAGCGAUGGUGGGCCCGGAUUCCGAUAAAUGGCUUGAGGCCAUAAAAUCCGAGAGAGGAUCCAUGUACGAAAACAAAGUGUAGACUUUGGCAGAACGGCUCGAUGGUCGUAAGGCUAAUGAGUACAGAUGGAUUUCAAAAGGAAGACGGACAAUGAUGGUAAAUGUCACCAUUAAGAAAGCUCGACCUGUCGUUAAGAUGUUUUCCGACAAGUUCAAGGAGUUGACUACGAUGAGAUUUUCUCACUCGUAGCGAUGCUAAGAGUCUGUUGGAAUUAUAUUAGCGAUUACUGCAUUAUUUAUGAAAUCUUGCAGAUAGGAUGUCAAAACAUUGUUUCCUCGACGAUUUUAAUGAGGAAAGGUUGUAUGUGAUACAACCGGGAGGUUUUGUCAAUCCUGAAAGAUGCUAAUAAGUAUGCAAAGCUCCAGCAAUCCUUCUAAGGACUGGAGUGAGCAUCUCGGAGUUGGAAUGUAUGCUUUGAUGAUGAUCAAAAAUUUUGGGUUUGUACAAAGUUUAUGAGAAACUUGUAUUUCCAAAGAAGUGAGUGGGAGCACUAUAGAAUUUCUGAUGAGUAUAUGUUGUUGACAUAUUGUUGAUCAGAAAUGACGUAGAAUUUCUGGAAAGCAUAUAGGGUUAUUUUGAAAGUGUUUUUCAAUGGAAAGCCUGGAUUAAGCUACUUGAACAUUGAGCAUCAAGAUCUAUAAGGAUAGAUCAAAAUGCUUAAUAAUACUUUCAAAUGAGCACAUACCUUGACAUGAUCUUGAAGGUGUUCAAGAUGGACCAGUCAAAGAAGGAGUUCUUGCCUGAGUUGUAAGGUACGAAGUUAAGACUUAAAGCUCGACCACAGUAGAAUAGAGAGAAAGGAUGAAGGUCGUCCCCUAUGCUUAAGACGUAGGCUCUUCAGUAUGCUAUGCUGUGUACCGCACCUGAAGUGUGCCUUGCCAUGAGUCAGUCAAGGGGUACAAGAGUGAUCCAAGAAUGGCUCACAGGACAGCGGUCAAAGUUAUCCUUAGUAACUAGUGGACUAAGGAAUUUUCUCGAUUAUGGAGGUGGUAAAAGAGUUCGUCAUAAAGGUUACGACGAUGCAAGCUUGACACCUAUCCGGAUAGCUCUGAGUAGAGAGACCGGAUACAUAUAAUGGAGCAAUAAUUUAGAAUAGCUCCAAGUAGAACAGUUGUUUGGAAUAGCUCCAAAUAGAGCGUGGUAGCUGCAUCUAGGAGAUGACAUAGAGAUUUGUAAAGCACACACGGAUCUGAAAGGUUCAGACCCGUUGACUAAAACCUCUCUCACAAGCAACAUGAUCAAACAUAAAACUCAUUGAGUGUUAAUCACAUAGUGAUGUGAACUAGACUGCUGACUCUAGUAAACUCUUGGGUAUUAGUCACAUGGCGAUGUGACCUGUGAGUGUUAAUCACAUGGCGAUGUGAACUAGAUUAUUGACUCUAGUGCAAGUGGGAGACUGUUGGAAAUAUGCCCUAGAGGCAAUAAUAAAAGUAUUAUUAUUAUAUUUCCUUGUUCAUGAUAAUUGUCUUUUAUUCAUGCUAUAACUGUAUUAUCCGGAAAUCGUAAUACACAUGUGAAUACAUAGACCACAAUAUGUCCCUAGUGAGCCUCUAGUUGACUAGCUCGUUGUGAUCAACAGAUAGUCAUGGUUUCCUGGCUAUGGACAUUGGAUGUCAUUGAUAACGGGAUCACAUCAUUAGGAGAAUGAUGUGAUGGACAAGACCCAAUCCUAAGACUAGCACAAAAGAUCGUGUAGUUCAUUUGCUAGAGCUUUGCCAAUGUCAAGUAUCUCUUCCUUCGACCAUGAGAGCGUGUAACUCCUGGAUACCGUAGGAGUGCUUUGGGUGUAUCAAACGUCACAACGUAACUGGGUGACUAUAAAGGUGCACUACAGGUAUCUCCGAAAGUAUCUAUUGUUUUAUGCGGAUCGAGACUGGGAUUUGUCACUCCGUGUAAAUGGAGAGGUAUCUCUGGGCCCACUCGGUAGGACAUCAUCAUAUGCGCAAUGUGACCAAGGAGCUGAUCACGGGAUGAUGUGUUAUGGAAUGAGUAAAGUGACUUGCCGGUAACGAGAUUGAACAAGGUAUUGGAUACCGACGAUCGACUCUCGGGCAAGUAACAUACCGAUAGACAAAGGGAAUUGAAUACGGGAUUGAUUAAGUCCUUGACAUCGUGGUUCAUCCGAUGAGAUCAUCGUGGAACAUGUGGGAGCCAUCAUGGGUAUCCAGAUCCCGCUGUUGGUUAUUGACCGGAGAACGUCUCGGUCAUGUCUACAUGUCUCCCGAACCCGUAGGGUCUACACACUUAAGGUUCGAUGACGCUAGGGUUAUAAAGGAAGUUUGUAUGUGGUUACCCAAUGUUGUUCGGAGUCCCGGAUGAGAUCCCGGACGUCACGAGGAGUUCCGGAAUGGUCCGGAGGUAAAGAUUUAUAUAUGGGAAGUCCUAUUUUGGCCACCGGAAAAUGUUCGGGAUUUUUCGGUAUUGUACCGGGAAGGUUCUAGAAGGUUCCGGAGUGGGGCCCACCUACAUGGGGGGACCCACAUGGACGUGGGUAGUGGGGGCAAGGCCCCACACCCCUGGUCAAGGCGCACCAAGAUCCCCCCUUAGAAGGAAUAAGAUCAUAUCCCGAAGGGAUAAGAUCAAGAUCCCUAAAAAGGGGGGAUAACAAUCGGUGGGGAAGGAAAUAAUGAGAUUUCUUUCCUCCCACCUUGGCCAACGCCCCAAUGGACUUGGAGGGCAAGAAACCAGCCCCUCCACCCCUAUAUAUAGUGGGGAGGCGCAUGGGAGCUAUACACGAAGUUCUGGCGCAGCCCUCCCCCUCUCACAAGUUCUCCUCCUCUCCCGCGGUGCUUGGCGAAGCCCUGCAGGAUUGCCACGCUCCUCCACCACCACCACGCCGUCGUGCUGCUGCUGGACGGAGUCUUCCCCAACCUCUCCCUCUCUCCUUGCUGGAUCAAGGCGUGGGAGACGUCACCGGGCUGUACGUGUGUUGAACGCGGAGGUGCCGUCCGUUCGGCACUAGGAUCUCCGGUGAUUUGGAUCACGACGAGUACGACUCCUUCAACCCCGUUCUCUUGAACGCUUCCGCUUAGCGAUCUACAAGGGUAUGUAGAUGCACUCUCCUUCCCCUCGUUGUUGGUUUCUCCAUAGAUAGAUCUUGGUGAUACGUAGGAAAAUUUUGAAUUUCUGCUACGUUCCCCAACAGGUGGUUCUAUGUCUGGACCUGGGGUCUUUGUCCAAUCAUGCUCACCAGGGACAGGAUAUAUCAUUGGUUCAUAUGCUACCAAGUAAUAUGGUUUCUUGAAGAAUUUGCUUACAAAGUCCUCUGGAAACCUUUUUGCCUUGUUGAUUGCUGAGAUGGCAUGGUUACAUGGGAUGCUAGUGAGGUCCCACUUUCUGCAACCACAGGUUUCAACUUCCAAAUUGACAGCAUGUGUUUGCUCACCACUAGUUACUUGCCACAAGUUAACACCUACUUGAAUGGGUUUGCAGUACCUGGCCCUUUCCUUUUCAAUCUCCAACUUCUCACUGUAAUGUGGUGUGAUCUCCCAUCUAGCUUCCCUUCCACUCUCUCUAUUCCUGUGCCACCUAACCAUCUGCUUAUCCUUUAUGCCAUCACACAUAGUUCUUAUUGGUUUUUUCCUAUGAUCUAGGAUGUACUUGUUAAACACCUCUGACAAAUUGUUGACAACCAAGUCAGUCUUGCUAUUUGUGUCAAAUGCAUGCCUAGCCCAUGUUUUCUUGGGUAUUGCACUAAGCCACUGCCAAGCUUCCACACUCUCAGCUUUGAGAUCAUCCAUUGCUUUAUUAAAUUUGUGUUCAUUAUAUGCAUAACUGGCAUUAUCCAUGCACUUCUUAAGGUCCUCCCCCCCUAAAGCCAGCAUUCUGGAAGUUUGCAUAUAUGUGCCUUAAGCAGAAUCUUUGAUGAAUGUUAGGAAAAACUCUAUUCACUGCAUACAAUAGCCCCUGGUGCACACAGUUUAAACAGCUAAGCUACUGUCUAAUACACAUGUAAACACAUAUUUAGCAGGCAAUGCAAGGUGGAUAAACAUACCUUCUGUCUGUCUAACAUUAUAGUAUAUGGACAUACUGUCCAACUUCUCCUCCAAGACAAAUCUUCACUUGGUGUAGAAACCAGCACCAGUUUGCUUUGUCCUCUUGCCCAACAAUGCCAAAUGCCAGUGGGUAUAUGUUGUUAUUGCCAUCUCUACCAGUGGCAGCAAGGAUUUGUGCACCAGUGGUCAGCUUGAUAAAACAUCCAUCAAUACCUAAAACAGGAAGUAAACAUAACAUGUCAAAUGCAUUUAUAUGUGCAACCUAUUGAAACUAACAACAUCAAAGUAGUGUACAAGCUAAAAUGAACUAACCAAUGAAUGGUCUACAACCCUGUAGAAAUCCCUCACUUGCUCCAUUGAUGCAGUAAAACAUGGCAUGGAAUCUUGGUCCUGGAUGUGGGAUUUUUUCAGUGGCUUUUGGAGUUACAGUGGUGACUAUAACUCUACUCCCAGGGUUUGUAUCCAUCACAGUCUAAGCAUAGUCUCUCAGCCUUGGGUAUUGCUUCCUAUGAUCUCCCAACACAGCCUCAACAGCUAAGUUUUUUGCCCUAUAGGCCAUAGCCUUGGGCACAUCCACACCAUACUUUUCCAUGCAGGCAUCAAUAAGUGUAUGUAUGCUAGUACUGGCAUCAGAUCUAAAUAGUGGGUCAUAUUGCUUUGCAAGCCAUUUUGCACUUACCCUGCUUGUUUCAGUAGAACUAGGUUAGGCCUUAAAUCCCCCAUGUCACUAUCAUACUGCCCUUCAGAUCCUUCAGAUGAACAUGCAUAACUGCCAUCAUAGCCAAUUUGUUCUUCUUCCAAAACUUCUUUUAACUUGGGAUUUAGAACACUCCUGCUCUCUUGUGUUAAAACAACAGGGCCUACAGCUGCAAUAGAACAGCUGCUCUGACCUUCAUAAGCAACACCUUGCUGAUCAACAGCAUAAAACAGGAGGAUCAGCAAGAUCAAAAACAACAGGCUCAGAAUAUUCAGUUAUAUCUAAAUUUUGCUUCUGUACAAAACCCUUUUGUGGUACACUGACAGCUGGUGGACAAGCCCUAAAUAGCAAAUUAAGCACCAAACUCUCCUCAUUCUGCCUCUUGAUCAACUGUAGUUUAACAUUAUUAUCAACCAAUUGCAAGCCCUGCUCUCCUGGGGUCUCCAUGUAAAACAUCAGUGAAUCAUCAAUACUAAAGCCUUGGGUUUCCAUCAAUGCAACCAUAUUCAGAUAUGUCACAUCUGGACAGCUUAAUUUCCUCUCUAACAGAUCAUUAUUGUCAAAAUGGAUCCUAACAUUCCAUAUGUCUUCAUAUAAACUACAAUUCACAUGCAAUUUGCCUAAUCAGUACACUAUAACCCUAAUUAGCAAAUAAAUGAGAAGAAAAAAAGAAGACAGAAACAGAAACUUACAGGACGCCGCCGACCCCGUGGGUCAGCUCGUGGCUAUUGCUAGGGUUCGCCACCCAUUGCUUUGCCACCCGUACCAGCUGCUCCAUGGACAGUACGGGCUCCAUGAACUCGUCGUCGUCGCUGGAGUACUCGGAGCUCGAGUAGCCAUCGCCGCCCUGGAUUGGAGAUCUCCCCUCGAUUCCUCCUGCCGCGUUGAUGCUGAAGAGGGGAAGGUUUGCGCGGUCAGCUCGUGGCUAUUGCUAGGGUUCGCCACCCAUUGCUUUGCCAGUUGUACCCGCUGCUCCAUGGACAGUACGGGCUCCAUGAACUCGUCGUCGUCGCUGGAGUACUCAGAGCUCGAGUAGCCAUCGCCGCCCUGGAUUGGAGAUCUCCCCUCGAUUCCUCCUGCCGCGCCGAUGCCGAAGAGGGGAAGGUUUGCGCCGUCGCCAUCACCGUCGCCGCCGCCGCCAUCGUCGUCGCCGCCACCGCCGCUGCCGCCACCACCGACCGGGGGCAUCGCCGUACGCGCGGGGGAGCUAGGGUUCGUCGACAAACAAAGACGGCGAGGAGGAAAUAGAGUGGAGCACGGGCCGGUCCGGUUCGAGCCGGACCGCACCUAUUGAGCGAGCGGGCGCGUGCCGAUUCUCCAGCGUGGCAUCUGACGCGCAGGCUCGGGCGGUCAGUUCCAGCGUCAAUACGUACAAAUACGGAGUUUAGCCCGAUUUGCAACGGUUCGGUCCAAACGUGGUACUGACACGUAAAUUUUUUUAAAACUGAUACCAAUUCGCCACCACCGCCCAAAUUGUGGUACUAUCGUGUAAUUUACCCCAACUAGUCAAACCCACAGCUUAAUUAUGCUAUGCAAGUGUGGUUUGGCUACUUGCCAGGCGGUCUUUGGUUACUCCAGUGGUCAGUCUGCCACUGCUGAUGUUAUCUAUUACAACCUAAUUAGAUCGUAGUAAGACUGUUGCGCUGAUUAACCAGUUAACACUCACGGUUACCGUCGAAUUGUCUCUGCUACCUCGCUGGCUCGACCUUUGUUGCGUUGCAGUAUAAAUGCUGGAUCGGUAUGGUAGGCGCACCGACCGAACAGGCGCACACACGGGGACGGGGACAAGGAAGGGAUCACGGGAGAAGGGCCUGUUACACUUGCCACCCGCCGGCCGUUUGCCUGUGCUCUCAACAUACCACCUCUCGCACCUAAGCUACCUAAUUAUGGACUCUGCGGUGGCGGCGGCGGUGGCGGCGGCCCCUCUUCUUCCUCCUCGGACCAAGAAGGCGACGGCGCUACUCCCGUGCGCCUCGCUCGCUCCAAACGCUUCCCCCGGUGAGUACUGCUCAAGCACAGGUCGAGCUUACAUUGAUGCUAUUAUUAAUUUCAUCGACCCUGCAGGGUUUGCUACGCCUACAAAGCUUUCACGGACUGAAGUACGAAUGGCGUACGUCGAUUUUAAACUAGAAACCUCUUGACUCUGAUAUCAUGUAGAACUGCACGCACCAGCUAGUUCAUCCAAAAGGUAGACAAAGUGGGCUAUGCAUUUGUACGUCAACACAAUUGAAUAAAUAUGCGUGGCAUCUGAUAUGCUAUAAAUCCAUGUCAAGUUGUAGUAAAUACAAAAGCUCGUUACGUAUGCAUGCAUGAUAUGAAUCAUGGCUGGAGGCGGAUGGUGAUGUGCUUGGUGUCGUCGCUGCGGGCGAGGGAGAAGGUGCCCUCGGCGGAGGAGUUGAGGUAGGUGACGGACAGCUUGUACUCCCCGAGGAAGGCGCUGAAGUUGAAGGAGCCCCGGUCGUUGGUGGCGCCGAGCACCUCCCUGGUCUGCCACUCCCCGAGCAGCCGGUCCACGACGUCCCCGGCGGGCAAGUUGGUGAAGUUGCCGUCGGUGAGGCACAUCUGGUAGCAGCUGGCGUUGGCGUCCAUGGCGGUCCACAGCAUGAUCCCGUCCACGGACGGGUGCGCGAACCCCUCCCGCAGCACCUCCUCCAGGUACGCCGCCUGCGUCUUGGCGUCGAGGGCGUUGCUGAUGUCGACCUCGGUGAGCCAGAUGGGGAGGCGGAGCGUGCCGAGCUUAUCAAGCACGGCGCGGACGUAGGGGAUGUUCGGCCUCCCGAAGUGGGCCUCCAGGCCGAUGCCCUCGAAGGUGACGCCAGCGUCGGCGAGCUGCCGGAGGCGGGAGACGUAGGAGUCGGCGCUGGAGCUGAGGUCGUCGCAGACCUCGACGACGUUGAAGUCGUUGAGGAAGAGCGUGGCGAGCGGGUCGGCACGCUUGGCGGUGCGGAAGAAGUCGGUGGUGGCAUUGCGGCCGAGCCGGGACUCGUAGAAGUCGAAGUGGAGCAUCUCGUUGCUCACGUCCCAGUGCACGAAGUCGCCCUUGUAGCGGGACAGCAAGCUCUCGAUGCGCCCCGCCACGGCGGCGCGGAGCUGGUCGGCGGAGGUGAGGUUCUUGACCCACCACGGGGUGUACUUAGGGUCCUCCCAGAAGAUGUUGUGGCCACGCGCCACCGCAUCGCUCGACUGCACGAACUGCAGUAGUUGGUCGGCGAGCGCGUAGUCCUCCUUCCCCGGCGCCGGCUCUGUCGCGUACCACUUGAGCUCGUUCUCGAACACCGCUGCAUUGAACCGCUUUUUGAACCAGUCCUGCAUGCAAAUAUCUUUAUCAGUCAUUCAGGAAUUAAUUGCAGAAAACUACCACAUAUGCGACUAGGUUUACAGAAAACCACCUAGUCGAUAAUCCGCUGCAAAAAUAACCGCGUUCCAAAAAGAUUACUGGGAACGCGAUGAAUUUCUGCUUUCUACAGAUAGAUUAGUGGUAUCACGGUGUUUUUGCAAUAAAUUAACUACUAGGUGGUCUUUUGUGAAUCUAGCUGCAAAUGUGGCAGUUUCUUGUUUUUAACUCGUCAUUCAGUCAUCGAUGCAGCAAACACAAGGGAAGCUGGUAUGAUGAACGACAGAUUUUAACUACAAACUGACGUGGAGGAUUGUGAUUGGUAAUAGGGGGAUGAGGGGGCCCCCCACUUAAAAUAGGGGGAGAGAGAAUUAGUUUGGAAGCGUAAGUAAACCUUUGUAGAGCCUUGUAGGUCGAGCAUUAUGGAUGAAGGACAUAUGAGUACCUGAUAUGGCUUGUUGUCGAGUAUGGUCUUGCUGAUGGCGGAGCCGAAGGGGAAAUCUCUGCUCAUCUGGUGCACGGCGACCUUGGCGCCGACGACGCGGCCACCACUGUUGUCCGACACGUGCACGUUCACGAAGCGUUUGCGGAUCUGCCGUGGAAAUGGCAAAGAAGAGAUGUUAUCAAACCAUAAGUAUUGUUCGUUUCAUUUGUGCGUGCAUUUGUACAAAUCCAUCUGGUGGGAACAAAUUAAAUUCAGUAGCAACGUAGUGGCAUUCGGUUACCAGCUGGAUGCGGUCCUCCCGGUGUUGGCUCCAUUGCUCCGGCGAGAACGGCUGCAGCGAGGCGCUUCUGAUCGAGACCAUGGACGCAUUUGCGGUUGCUGCCUGCAGAGAAUGAAUCAACAGAGAAAAUUGCAUGAGAUGCCAUUUGAUCAGUUCUUUUUAUCUGAUUAAGUUUACUGAUUCGUUCAAGCGGGCAGCCUCACCUGGAAAUAGAGGACGGAGGUCUGUGACGGCGAGUUGAGGGUGAAGCCGCCCUUGAGGAAUGACCAGCAGUCGUUUCGCACCAGAGCCGUGCCCAGGCACUGUGAUCCAGCGUUGUCCAGUGACAGGAUCUUGGCCUUCACGUGGAUAGUUCCUGGCCCAUUGAAUUUCACCCAGCCUAGAAGAGAGAUCACUCGAGCAUUUCAACACAUUGACAAAUCAUGGUGAACAAAUGAGCUUAUGACACCAAAAUUGCUAAAAGCAUAUGUAUAAUUGUGGAAUUAGCGGGUGAUCGGCUUUUGCAUUAGGUAUAGGGAACCGGGUUGAGUACCACAAAGAUAACAAAAUUAUCAAUCAAAGGGGACUCAAACACUCAUCAACUACAUUUGCCAAAAGCUGAGUUUGCCCGCCUCUUCGAAAAUCCUUUUGUCCUGGGUGGAGUGGUGUUAAAAAUAUGUUUAAGGCGAGCAUGCAUAUAAAUAUGUUUUUCACAUCUGUGGGAAGUACUGGCCCACUAUGCACUUCCUCUGUCACAAAAUAGGUGGCAUAUUAAACGUGUCAAAAAAUCAUUGCCUUCUAAGUUUGAACGCUUUCAAAGUUUUUUUUUCAGAUGGCAAUUUUAGUUGUAAAAAUAUUAGGACGGUGUUACUUGGAGCCACACGUGUAGCAGUUAUCAUUUGGGUCUUUUUUUUUUGUUUUUGGUUUGAUUGCCUCACAUAGAUGUGUAGAUGUGCCCUAGACAGACUCAAAAUGUAAAGCAUUGUUCAAAAAAAGUCAGUAUAUUCACCAUUAGAUAUAUUUUAAUAACACAUUUAUUUAACAGCUGUUAAUAUUUUCUUUUAAAUAUUUUUGGUCAAAUAUAGAAAGAGUUGACUUUUUAACUGAGUUUGUGCGCUAUCUAUUUUGGGAACGGAGGGGGUGUACAGUGCACUAAGGUCUGUACUGUACUCUACUGCAAUCAUGAUACAGGUAUAAAUAGCUCAUCAUACAGGUGCACAAACUCCAGCUCACAACCGAGAGUACUACUACUAGUAGUAAAAAAGGUUUGCCCAAUCUGAGCCGCCGUCCACCCACCCAAAUAGCCAAUGAGCUCAAUUCCCUCUCGCCACCGAUAUGCAUGCCCACACACACACACACACACAAGGUAACAAAAGCUAGCGCUCAUCUCGCUCGCCUGCUCAGUGCUCAGUGUGGAUCUCACUCGAUGCGUGCGUGGUCACAAGCACGCACGCGUCCGCCCGCUCCCUACCAUCGGAAUGAAUGAAGAAGGGAAACGCAUGGGACGAUCGAUCGCUGGUCCAUGCGGUGUCGCGGCGCGCGCGCGCCACAUGCAAAGCAGCGAGGCGUACUGUGCAUCCGUCCACCCACCCACGGCCAUAGGUGACACGCGUGUGCGGCCGGCGGCUGGUGCGCAUACGACGUGCCUCAUCUGCCCAGGCCGCGCGCUCCACGGCCUCGUCGCCACCUCCCCGCUUUGCCCCGUAGUCUUGUCUCGCGCGCCCACCCAUGCGCAUGCGGCCGCGGGAAGAAUCUCCGUCGCCGUCGCCGCCCCCACCACGUACCGCGGCCGCAUGCAUGCACGUACACUCGAUCGGUCGUCGCUGGCCAUGGCGCCUUCCCUCGCCCGUCUUUCUCCGCGCCGCUACCUCCUGCCCGUUUCUGCUGCCCGCCUACCUAGCUGCUGCCUAAUCAUGUUCGAUCCAGCGAGAGCCCAGAGCCUUCUCCCCUCCCUGGGUGAUUUGUUUCAUUCCCUUGGAUUGUCAGCUUCUGGCCGGUGUGUGUGUGUGUGGUGGAUGUAUGUAUGUAUUGGGAGUAUUCGCGAAAAAUGUGGACAAGUCUGGGUGGACUGGACCGACCUCUGAAAUCUGGAAGUUACCUCCGAACUACAGUUCAGUAAAUUGCGGACAUGUUUGGGUGGACUGGACCAACUGGACUACUGAUAGUUCCACGCUUUGGGUCCUCGCUUCUUUGUGUUACCACAUCUUAAAUCUGACUGUCUGAAAAACCACGCAUUUCCCCCCUGAGUUGCAGCAGACCAGUUCAGUAAAACCUUUAUGAAUCUUACUGACACGGCUGUACGACCAGGAAGUGCCGUGCGCAAAUUCAGUUUCAAAUACUACAUACUCUUUGAAUUUGCAGAAAAACAGAACUGCUUGCAGAGUAUGAAAAACACACUGCCGUAACCCUGAAAACUUUCUAGACUACUCAUUGUCGGCAAAUCGUGUUGGAUUUCAAGUUGAAAAAAAAUGCACGGAUGUACAAAAACUGUGUUUUUCGACGUGUGAAGGGCUGCGUCCGCACCCAGCAGAGCUUACCAAUGGAGUGACGCUGUGUUUCGCCCAAGCAAGUUGUACACCUAUUUUGAGAUUAUUUUCUUUUUGGACUUGCGUAUAUGCUUUUCAAACGGCAUUUUCAGAUUUUAAAUGUCAAGUCGGUUUUCAUCACUUAGUAAGUCCCCGGAGAUCUUCUACUUAGAUCCCAUCAAACUAAAUUCCUUUCUAGGACUAGGUGUUUUGUCCUUCGACCCUCGAACUAAAGAAAAGGAAUUUAGGGGAAAAGGACAUGUCUGAGUGACACGUAUUUUAUCAAAAAUAAUUCCCACUCCUUUUCUACACACUUUCUAUCAAGUUCUUAAGCUAUUUAAGGAAGGGUAAUUAGCCAUGUAUAUACAUGGAGUAAGUCGCUCACAAAACAAGCAAUUUCAGCAAUGAAAUUGGGAGCUGGGCUCUUUUUAUCGAGAAGAGAAAAAAAAACUCACAUGAGAAGCUGUACGCCAUGCCGGCGGACAUGUUGUAGAGCACGAAGGACGGCGAGUAGUUGCCCUCGUCCGCCGUGCUGAAGUCCUUGAUUUUCUUGGCCCACCGCAGGAUGCCGCCGUUGUACAGUGCAGGCUCCGGGUGGCCUUUGCACUGCAGAGCAAGAAGAAGCAAUAGAAGAGCACGGUCAGUCUAGGACAGAGAUGGACGAGGCCGGAGCAGAGGUUUAUUCCGAGAGAUCGAUGUACGAGAGCGUACUUCAGUGUAAGCUUUGUAGUCAUAGCGCACCCCGUCAGCUGCAGGGAGGAUGAAAUUAAGCAGCAUCAAUGUAAGCUCUGUACGUACUUGAGUGUAAGCUUGCAGGGCCGGGAGCGGUACUCACCGGAUGAAGGGCGUGGGGCGAGCGAGGCGGCGAGCAGUAGCAAUGGCAGGAGGAGCGCCGUCGUGGGCUUCUUGGUCCGAGGAGGAAGAAGGAGAGGUGGCGCCGCCGCCGCCGCCGCCGCAGAGUCCAUAACUAGAUAGCCAGUGGCUAGCUCGGUGCAAGAGGUGGUAUGUUGAGAGCACGGGCAAACGGGCCGGCGGGUGGCAACGAGCGAGUGUAACAGGCCAGUUCUCCCGUGAUCCCUCCCUUGUCCCGUGUGUGCGCCUGUGCGGUCGGUGCGCCUACCGAUCCAGCAUUUAUACUGCAACGCAACAAGGAGCUAGCCAGCGAGACAAUUCGGCUGUAACGUGGAUGACAGUAGCUGGUUAAUUAGCGCAACAAUCUUACUACUAGUGAUUAAUUAGGUAGAUGAACAUGAGCAUGGCCGGAUGAGACUGACCACAUGAGUAACCAAAGACGGCCUGGCAAGUAGCCAAGCUACACCUCCGUAACUAAGCUGUGGGUUUGACUAGUUGCUAUGUACCCCCUCUGUCCGGAAGUACUUGUCCGGAAAUACUUGUCAUCAAGAUGGAUAAAAGGGGUCAUCGGUCAUCCCCUUUUAUCCAUUUUGAUGACAUGUGGUCGCCCCUUUUAUCCAUUUUGAUUACAAUUAUUUCCGGACGGAGGGAGUAAUUAGUACAAAGUUGAGUCGUUUAUUUUGAAAUGGAGGGAGUAUAUAUGUUGCUACCUAGCUCAUGUAUAAACUAAUGAUUAGUUUACACUUGAGAGCUGCGACGUUACCCGCAAAAAAAAGAAAAAAGAAGAGAGCUGCGACGUUGCUAGUAACUAGUAAGUGCUGCUAGUAGCUGGUUAGUGGCAUUGCCAUGACAGGAAGUUAGUGUUUGACUCGGCAGUCAUUAAGCUUAUUAUACAUACACGUGGAGAGCUCAGCACUGUCCAGGGAAGUACUUUCGGCGUGAUAUAUAUCUGCACAUACAGUGGUACGCGUGCAGAGUAGCAACCCAGGGAGAGGCGGGUGAUGGACUGGCUGACUGACACCUCGCCGGAGAGCACUAUACGGCUGCAAACACUCAGGUCGCCGUGUAAAACCUGUCAUCUCUGGAUAUGGACAUGCAUGCUCCCAGCAUCCAUGCAUGGGAAGCCAGCAUAUCAUCUCUGUACUGUCAGCCUAUCGUUUUGUUAGGACGACCAGUGGGUGAUUAGGCUAUCAUUUUGCUAGGACGAUCGACAAAGCCCAUACCAUCAUUUGUCCUUCCUCCACUGUUAAACCGGACGCGAGCUGUAUGUUAUGUGGUUUUGGCCUUUUGGGGACGCACAACUAAUAUAGGCCCCCGUUGGUUUACCCCGACAUUUGUAGUGGGUGACAGAAGGACGGGACCCGGAACAUGGAAUGUUUCGACGACGGGGAAAGUGGUGAAGAAUCGUGCUGAAUCAGUCUUCUGUUAUUCCUGCUCUUUCCUACUGUACUGACUCAGUCAGGGACACAAUCAGAGGCAGCACGGCGAGGCUUUCCUUCUAAACUCGAGGCCUGCUCCGGUGCUCCCCUAAUCUAAUUUUGGAGGGGUAUUUUUGUCCCCGCGAGUUUGUUUUUUCCUGGCCCGUCAUAGCCCAGAUCUAAGCCCUGUCUAGCCCUGCCAAGCCCUGUAUAGCCCAGACCGUAUACGUACAGUACCUGGUCCGGAAAAAAAACAUCACACGACCCCACGACCACAUAGGACCUGCCGGAUCCAAUCAUUCACGCAGCUCCAUCAAUCUCGCGAGCAUUCACGCAGCUCCAUAAUUCGCGCGGUAGAUCUCCAGUGUCGCGCGGCUAUCUCGUCGCCGGCGAUCUCGUCGGACAGCGGGCGCGGCAACAUCGUGAAUCUCCAGCGCUCACAGGUACCGCAUCCUGCAUCCCCCCACACCCCUCUAGUCUCGCUCGCGGCAACAUCGAACGAACUGCCGCCGUCAGAUAUAGUGGUUAGCCUAGCGGGGAGGGUAACCUACCUACCCGGCGGCGCAUGCAAUCGUGGAUCUUGUUCCGGUAGUGCUGCUCCUCGUGAUCUAGGUUUCUUCAGUGUAGGAUUCACGUAGCGUCGGUUGCCGUCGGCUGUGUCCACCAGGACUAUCAUUAUUUGAUGUGGCGGCUAACCUAGGUAUCCGGCGGCAGAGGUAAUCACAGAUCUAGCUAGGUUUUGUAGUGCUGCUCCUCGCGAUUGAAAGUGAUCACGACGGGUGCCGUGGCCAUCUUCCUGGCUUGGUUUGGCAGAUCUGAACGGCCUCGGUUGGGGUUGUUUACAGAACAUCCGUGAUCGUUAGCUAUGUGUUGAUAUUUCAUCAUUGAUAAUGUUUUCAUCAUUUGUUGUAGGAAAUGGCGGACGAGGAGUUAACUGAUAUGAUGGUAGACAUGGAGUUUGGAGAACUGAUGAAAGACUGGAUAGAAGAUUGGUCAGAUGAUGACAAUUCAGAUCUUGGAAAUCAGUCAGAGAAUGGGAACGAAUGGGAAGAUUUUAAUGUGAGUGGCAUUACCAUGUUGUAAUUUUUUGGUGCCAUCGUACAACAUUAUAUUUUUGUGUUGAAAAUUUGUAGAUGGAUGAGCAUGAUGAUGGUCAGGAAAACAAUUCGGAGCUCUCAAAUGAAGAUUACAUUAGUCAGUUACGUGAGUGAAAAAAUUUAUUGGCAUGCAAAUUGAAUUCAUUCUGGAAUAUUAUAUGAUAAGUAAUUAUGUAUUUGUGUUGUAUUUUUCAGUUCAUUUCCGAAUGUCAUAAUGCAUACGACUAUUACGGUGAAUCCGACGCGGAGACAGGCCUUAACGACGAAUCAUCAGAUGCACCUGAUUCUGGGGAUUCGCAGUCGUUGGUCACCAUGAGUGAGGUAUUUGUGUAAUCAAUGUUCUAUGAAAGUAAUGUUAAACCAUACAAAACAGUUUUCAUGGCUAUGUUUUGAUUGUGUAGGUGACAGAUGAUGGUGGGGUAAUGAAUGUCGAAGAUACUGCCAGUGCAGAUGAUAAGAGGGAUAUGUUCAUGCAGAUAAUGGACAUGACUUUUAUGACUCAGGAUGCUGCGUAUGAUUUCUACAACAGCUAUGCUAAAGCUAAUGGUUUCAGCAUUAGGAAGAAUAAGGUCAGGUAUACCAAAACCGAGGCACAUCUUAUGCGUUAUAGGAGGUUUGUUUGUUCCAGACAAGGGAAACGUGACGGCAAGUUGCUAACCGAGGAAGGGCACAGCCGUCGGCUCAGAGCCGAGACACACUGCUUUUGCGAAGCACACCUGACUGUCAAGCUUGACCAAAAGCGUGGGGUUUGGUAUGUUGCAAGUUUUGAGGACAAGCAUAGCCAUAUGUUGGCAGGACCGGACGAGGUACCUUUUCUUUGGUCCCACAGAAAAAUCAAAGAGUUUCAGAAGCAUGAGACAAUGUCCAUGGGAGCUGCAGGGAUUAGAAUUCACGACAUGAUGGAUUCCCUCAUCAGCAAACAUGUAUGGUAUGGCGGUGUUGGUUUUAUCAGGCGUAAAAUAUACAACCUUUGUGCCAGGGAGAAGAGGAAGCUGCUUUCAAAAGGUGAUGCUGCCACAGCCAUAGGCAUCAUGGCCAGUAGGAAACAAAGGGAUCCUAACUUCUUUUUCGAGUACAUGCUAGAUAAGGAAGGACACUUGAAUAGGAUGUUCUGGUGUGACUCCCAGUCUCGUCAUGACUAUGAGGACUUUGGCGACGUGCUUGUAUUUGACAGCACGUACAAGAUGAACCGCUAUGGUAUGCCAAUCAUACCUUUUGUUGGUCUUAACAGUCACCGGAAGACCACUGUUUUUGGUUGUGACAUAGUUUCAGACGAGACCGAACAGACAUACGUGUGGCUGCUGCAGACUUUUUUGAGGUCCAUGUGUCAAAAGAUGCCGAAGAGUGUAAUCACAGAUGCCGACGCUGCGAUGAUCAAGGCAAUUCACGAAGUCUUGCCAGACGUGUGGCACCGUAUAUGUACGUGGCAUAUAGAAAAAAAUAUGAAGAUUCACCUCAGUCCCAAGUCCUUGAAGGAGUUCCGAACUCUUCUGUACUACAGCACGUCCACGGCCACGUUUGAGGAGAGAUGACACGCGUUUACCAAAAGAUGGCAGUCGGAAAAAACAGUAACAUGGUUGAGACGGAUGUAUAAGAAGAGGAGACUGUGGGCCGCGGCUUAUCUGACAGAGGGGUUUUGGCUUGGCAUGAAAAGCAACCAGCGGAGUGAAAGCCUAAACUCAUGCCUUCACCUCCACCUAGACGGUGAAAUGACCCUGGUGGAUAUGAUUUUGCAUUAUGAGAACGUCGUUGUACGUAUCCGUGAAAACAUCGGUCUAUACCUCAAGGGGGCCUUGUAAAAUAUUCUUUUUCCAAAUUUUAUUUGAUAGCCAUGUUUGGCACAUGUGGGCCACCUUGUACAAGAAAAUUUGGGUGAUUUGGAGGUGGUGGAAAAAAUCACCUAUGUUCAAAAACUGGCUUAAGUGACCAAAUGGCCCCUCCGGAAUGCGGUAAUUUUUUCCACCACCUCCAAAUCACCUCUAUUUUUGCACACAUGACCUAUUGCACAAACUAGGCUAGGUUUUCAAGGUUUUAUAUUUUUUUGAUUUUUUUUGAAUUGAUACUGCCCUCUAGACUGGCUGCUCCAAACAUCGGUCUAUACCUCAAGGGGGCCUUGUAAAAUAUUCUUUUUCCAAAUUUUAUUUGAUAGCCAUGUUUGGCACAUGUGGGACACCAUGUACAAGAAAAUUUGGGCGAUUUGGAGGUGGUGGAAAAAAUCACCUAUGUUCAAAAAAUCACCAUGUUCAAAAAAUCACCAUGUUUGGAGGUGGGUGAUUUGGAGGUGAUUUGGAGGCUAGGUUUUCAAGGUUUUAUAUUUUUUUGAAUUUUUUAUUAAUUUAUAAGGCCCUCUAGACUGACUGGUCAAAACAUCGGUGUAUACCUCGGGGAGCAUUGUAAAAUAUUCUUUUUCCAAAUUUUCUUUCAUAGACAUGAUUGGCAUAUGUGGGUCACCAUGUUCAAGAAAGUUUGUGUGAUUUGGAGGUGGUGGGAAAAAUCACAUUUGUUCCAUCAAAUGCUCCAAUAACCCAGACCUGGGCUUGGGCUUGCUGCAGUAGGGGCACCGGUACUUUCUAUUCAUCCAGUUGUAGUACUUAGCAGGUCCUUGGGCCCUGAUCUUCAACUCCUUCUCUUUAAAGGACUUGACGUUUCCCUCGACCACAUCAUCUCUAGAUUCAUACUGCACACAUUAAUGACUGACAUUAAUACAUUAUGCAUUCAAAUACUAUAAACAUCUAACACUAACUCAAUGCACAAAUAACAUUUCAACUAGGCCUUACCUCGUACGGCUCAUCCUCAUCACUGUCAUAAGGGUAGUACCCAGAUGAGUCCCACUUCCUCUUGUUGCCAACAAGAUCCUCCUUCUGCUAUAUUGUCAACCAAGCAAGUCAUUUACAAAGGAAUUGAAUUGCAGUUCAAAUAAUGUCAUUACAAACAAGUUGAUUUUGCAUAAUGAUGGAAAGCUCCUAACUAUAUUGAAAAGGUGCAUAGGUUACACAUGGUAUGUACAUUUCAACAACUAAUUCAUAGACUAUAUAUGAAGCUAUAUAGAUACUAAACAAUAGGAUUAUGAACAUACAAGUUCAUUCAUAUGGACAUACAAAUUCAGAUUUUGCUUUUCAACAUGCAUAUGAAGGUAUAAAUGAAUAUCAUUCCUCUCUUAUUAACCAAUGAGAUAGCAGACAGACAAUGCAAAUAGGACCUUUAUAUAUAACUUCACAAACAUGUCAGGUUUUUAUUUCAUUUGUAAAUAUUAAUAAAUAAUUAGUUCAGAGCAGUUCUUAAUGAGCACUCAUAUGUCAGAAUAAGUGAAAUGAUGAAGCCUAACUCCUACAUCUAAUUAAAAUACCCUAACUCCAGCAUCUAAUUAAAAAACACUAACUCCUAGAUCCACUGGAAUAUUGAAUCACAAAAUUUACUUACAUAUAUCAUUGGAUAUAAAUGAAUCCACAACAAGUAACACUAACUCAUACAUCUAAUUAAAAUAUCAUAACUCUUACUUCUACUGCAUCAUUCAGUCACACCAUUUAAUUACAUUUAUCUCUGCCUAUAAAUGAAUCCAAUACAAAAGAAACCUAACUAAACAUCUAAUUAAGAAACACUAACUAGUACAUCUACUACAUCAUUCAAUCACAUAAUCUAUAUAACUGUCUAUAAAUGAAUAAUACAAAUAAACCUUAACUAAUCAACUAAUUAAAAAAUCAUAACUACUACAUCUACUGGAUGAUUCAAUCAUAGAUCAUACAUACAACUGGCUAUAAAUGAAUCCAAUACAAGAAAACCCUAACUAAACAUCUAAUUAAAAAACCCUAACUACUACAUCUACUGGAUGAUUCAUAUGACAUUCAUGCAUGGAGUUAUGCAACAACAAUUUAAUAUGAGUUGGUCAUCUGGCAUAGUUGCAUGUCUAGCAAACCUACUUAUGGUUCACUUUAUAAGUACAGGAAUCCUACAGAUCAAAAAUAAACCUACCUACAAUUUGAGUUUAUAGAUAAUGAAGUGAAGCUCCUAACUAUUUUGAAAUUGUGCACUAGUUAAACGUACUGUGUUCAUUUCAACAAUUAAUUGAUAGACUUCAAAUGAACAAAGUAGGAUUUUAACCACAUUUGUACAAUAUCAACUUUAAUAGAUGCACUGGGUGGCGGCUCAGCCCCUGCCGUGGCCCACUGAGGGAAUAUGCAAAACAAAUCUAACAACAUAUACAACACAGAACAAAAUCUGAGCACAUGAGGCAAUCCAGAUUCUAAUAUAAAAAACAUAACUCUCAUUAUGAUCUCUCUAGCAUUAAACCACGAAUCAACUACAAAAAACCCUAACUCUCAAAUGGGGUUCCCCAUUCAGUCAAAAAACCCUAACAAGCAGAAGGGGGUGCCGCAUUCAAUCACAAAUCUACAAUAAAAAAACCCUAUCUACUAAAUCUUCUGCUUAACAACUACAACUAAGAGAGGAGGGGAACGAGAAGGAUUACCACAUCCACCACCUGCUUGUCGCUCACCUCCGCACCUGCAUCCAGUGCGCUGCGAGACGCCGACACCACCAGGUCCGGCACGACGGAGUCCGAGCCCGCCACCCCCUGCUCCACCAGAUCCGCCGCCGCAGCGACCGAUCCAGCGACUGCGGGUGCAGCAUCUCCCGCACCGCCGACGGCGGCCACUUCUUGGACGGCAUCUGCCGCGGUGUUCGCGGCCUCGACCGCAACUCCAUGCGCAGCGGCGGCAGCGCCACCACCUUGCGCCAUCGAAGCCUAAGAGAACCCACCGGAGAGAGGGAGGCGGUGGGGUUGAGUGAGUAGGUGCGGUGGCGGGGCGAUGGAGACGAGGGGGAGACGAUGCGACAGGGAGUGAGCCGAUUUGGGGGUAAAUGGUGGGGGCGAUGCGGCCGGUGGUGGUUCCCCUCCCUCUUUAUAGGAUGUGACGUUUUUGGAAGUUUUCGUGCGCCGCGUGGCUGCGUGGCUAGCCCACGACCGCCGCCGCCCACGCCCACAACCGCCGCACGUGACAAGGGAAAACGAUACGCCCACGUACAGUACAUGUAUACCCUCAGUGUACAAAAGUAAUCGGGCCGGUGCGGGCUUGUACAGGGCUGUACGCGCGCUCUCCGCGGGCAUAACGAAUCGUUUUUGACAGAUCUCACCCGUCCUUGUGUUUCUCCCCCUCGCGUUCAGCCCAGGGGGGAGCACCGGAGCAGAACCGUCUAAACUCUAAUCCAAUCAUCCUCUGUUCCUCUUCCGGCUUUCCUUGGAGCGGCGCGCUAGCUGCACCUGCACUACAGCAGAGCAGCCGGCGGGCGAGGAGUGUUAGCCGGGAAGCAUUAGGAAAUUGCUAAUGGAACUCGAGCACAAAUUUUGAAAAUUUCAAACAAUGACUGCUUUUAGUAUAAGAAAACAAAUUACGAAAGCAUGCACAUAAAGGAUGUAUACAGCAUGUUAGUAAUUUUUCAUGACGAGAUAUGUUUUGAUUUGAGUUUUUUUUUUAUAUAUCACCAAUAAAAAACUUAUUUUGUCAUGAAAGUUUGCAGACAUGAAGCAUGCAUUCCUACGGAUGCACAUUUUUCAGAAUGCUGCAAAACUUAUUAGGGCCAUGUUUGGAUUAUCGUUUAGCUUCUAGGUACCCUUGUAAAACGAUAAACACCUCCGGCCGUCGUUUUUUUUAUUCUAGACGAAAUUUACACUACGACCGCUAAUAUACACCUGUAAAUUAAAUCUGGAUCAUAUAAAGUUACACCGAUUCCAAGCAGGGCAUAAAAGGUCAGUUUGUUGGGUUUUUGCCAAAAGUUUGGGCUCAAAGCAUGAUUGUUUUGAUGCCAAAAAUUGGCAUAUGCCAACAUUUGGCAAAUGCCAAAUAUUGGCUAGUGUUUGCUUGGUUAUCAAUUUAACUUGCCAACCUGACAAGAAGUAGUCAAUUUUUGGCAACUUUUGAAAUUACCAAUUGUUAGCUUGCCAAGUAUUGACAAUGCCAAAUAUACCAAUUAGCCUCUCGUGUUUUCUCCUCGUGAUGGACAUAGGCCAUUAUUUAGACCUAUUUCCUCUAUCCAGCGUCAGUGGCGGCAGCGGAUAGCCAUGGCUGCUGAACCUUCUAAUCCAAUCAUCCUCUAUUCCUCUCCCGGCUUUCCUUGGAGCGGGGCGCUGCACUACAGCAAAAGUCGCUGCCGUGUUUGGACAGUCGGCAUCGAGCCGCAGCCGACGCACACCGAGCAUGCAUUCCAGCAGUAGCCGUUCAGGGCGGAUCCUGACAGAUCUGGUGCAGGGCGGGGACGAUGGAGAUGGAUGUCUCCGUAUCCAGCUGGAGGCAUGGCGCGAGGGCCUGGGCGGCGAGGGGCGCGCAACGGCGCAUUUGUUUUUUCAAAGAGAGGGGAAGGAGUAGAUCAGUCAAUACGCCUAUGUGGCAUUUUUUUUUUUGCCAAGUCAGCUCCUGAUGAGUGAGCCUCAUAUGUCGUAAACCCGCUCAAACAACCAUAAUAUGCCGAUCAGUGUUAUUUGCCAAAAGAUCAUGUUACAUAGUGUUUUCUGCUAAAAAUAUGUAACGUAGUGUUUUCUGCAAAACCAAUCAUUUUUAUGAUGGUUUUCUGCGAUUUACCGUCGUGAUGGACAGGCCGUUCUUCAGACCUGUUUCCUCUGUCCAGGGACAGUGGCGGCAGCGGAUAGCCAUGGCUGAACCUUCUAUAAACUCUAAUCCAAUCAUCCUCUGUUCCUCUUCCGGCUUUCCUUGGAGCGGCGCGCUGCACCUGCACUACAGCAGAGCAGCCGGCGGGCGAGGAGAGUCCCACCCCACCCCACCAGCUGCAGCACCUCUCCUCGGCCCCCGGCCCGCCAGAUCUCCUUCUUUUCUUCAGUUCCCCGCGAGUAACUUCUCCGGCUCGGCCCUGCCCGGCCGCAUGGCGCAAGCAGUUGAUCUCGUCCCACGGAGCUCAAGAGAUUUGGGGGCUACACUGCUCGCCUCGCUCCAGUUCAUCAUCGAUCCACGCCUACAUCCCCAGGUAAGUCUCAUGUCGGAGACAGUCACCGCAAAUUAAUCAGUAUUUAUUCCCAUGUCCAUCCAAACCAAUAAUAUCAUCAUGUUCUCCAUGCAUCUUACCUACAGUAGUUUUCUUGAUUCCAUCCGCCAGGCUUUAACCGGGUCCGAUGAUAUGCGCUUAGUCCCUUUAAAAUCCUUCAGUUUACCCCCAAACACGCUUUUGUUUCGCCCAUGCUAAUUGGCUGUUGCAAUCCUUCGAAAAGUUCAGGAAUAGAAGAAGAAAUGACACGCCAAUACAAUGUAUUCACAGACACAUCCUGCAUUCCAAACUGCUCCUGGUAUAAAAGCAAAAUCCCAUCACCCCAAUCGUAUGGGAGUCCAGUUUUGCAAACUGGCUAGCCAUUCAUGAUGAUGGUACUAUAGUUCAGUUAUGCAGAAUUGCACAGAGCUGGUUAAUGUUGACCUCACAUUUUACUCACAUGUACAGUGAUAUACAGAGAGCAGAGGAAAGUGGCCAAGUAAAUUGUAAAUCAAGUACAAGUCACUUGGAUGCCGUUCCUAACUCUUAAGCAUCCUAUCCAUUUUAAGCAUUACUAGUCGCUCGACUACCGCCGCCAUGUCGGGCCGAUCUUCUACAUCUUCUUUUAGGCACUCAAUUGCCAGCUUGCCAGUUUCUUCCAGGCAAUAGAUAUCUUCUUCUUGAGUUGCGAUCUCCUCGUCAAACAUCGCCCUACCGCUCUUUUCUUUCUCACAGACUUUACGGAACUCCAAAAUGAGGCUACAGUAUUCAUCAUAUACACUUCGCUUCCUGGUAAUGAGUUCUAAGAGAAUCGCCCCAAAGCUGUAGACGUCGCUUUUUUCUGUCAGUUGCCCGGUUUUAAGGAACACCGGGUCAACGUAGGCCAUGUCCCCAGCUACAAUCUUGCCGAAAUAAUAUUCCUCUCUAAGCACCUUCCAUAACCCGAAAUCCGAGAUUUUUGGUACGAACUUGUCAUCCAGAAGUAUGUUGUCCGGUUUGACAUCACCGUGCCGUAUGGCUUGAUCUCCGUAGGAGUGCAUAUAUGUUAAACCUUGUGCAGUUCCAAUUGCAAUAUCCAGACGCAGGUCUAAGGGGAGCUUUUGGUUUCUGCUGUUGCCAUGAAGAAUGUCUUGAAGACUUCCUUUGCCGGCAAACUCAUACACCAACAUUGGAACAUCCACCUCCAGGCAGCAACCGAUGAGGCUGAGAAUAUUCACGUGCAUCAUAUGUGUCUGGAUCUCGAGUUGCUUGAUAAACUGCUCUUUUAUAGAUUCAGUUACUUUGACAGAGGACAUAACUGCCACUGCGAUGUUGUCAGGAAGGGUUCCUUUGCAGACUUUACCAAAGCUUCCGAUUGAAAGAAACUCUGAGUUGUUGUUGGUGAUUUUUCUUAGUUCACUUUUUGUGAAAAUGUGUAGUCCCUUGACAUUCUGCAGUACUGGACCUCCAUUCCUUUUGAAAUUCGUGUGCGCAUUCCUACUGAAGAUGCCCAAACUGUUCAAGUUGAAGAACACGGUAGAGUUAGAGCUGGAAAUCCUUUCGCUUUGUGUUGUGUUGUUGUCUUGUUUUCCCCACAAUGUCCAGUGACCUGCAGUUUUUUCUUCACCCGGCUGGCAACGAGCUUUUAUUAGCAUCCGAAGACGUUCUGCAACAUCUUCCAUUUGAGGGCGUUUGCUCAUCUCCAUUCUGAGGCACUCAGCUGCUAGAUUUACAAUCUUGUCAAGAACCUUAAUGUUGCUCGACUGUGCUAUAUCAGCAUCGAACAUCUCUCUUGCCUUCUUUCCUUUUUGAACAGCUAGGAUGAAAGUUUCUAUGAGGUCAGUAAUUGUACCAUUUUCAUAUACCUUUUUUCUGGUGACUAGUUCUACCAAUACGAUCCCAAAACUGUAAACAUCACUCUUCGGAUCGAUGUACCCAGUCUUAGCAAACAACGGAUCCAUGUAACCUAUGCUGCCUAUCACAUUCACUGUGUAUUGAGUGCUGUCCUUGGAAAACAUUCUGGAUAUCUCGAAGUCGAAUAAUUUCGCACCAAAGUUAUCAUCUAAAAGGAUGUUACCUGGCUUGAAAUCACCGUGAAUGAUUGGUGGACACAUGGAAGAAUGCGUGUAGCUUAACACCUCUGCACAGUCUAGAGCAAUACCCAACCUUGCAUCUAAAGAAAUGGGAUAUUCUCUGGAAUCAAGAACAUCUCUGAGGUUUCCUCCAGAGGUGUAUUCGGUGAUCAUCAUUAAAACGUUUUCCUCUGAACAGUAGCCCAAGAGCCUAACAACGUUCUUGUGGUUGAUUUGGCAAUGUAUGAUUAUUCCUUUAGCAAAAUGUUCCUUCAUAUCUGGGAGUGGAAUCUUGACUGCAACAGAACUACCAUCUUCAAGAACACCAUGGUAAACUUCUGCGGAGCCACUUUUGCUAAUGAGAGUGCUAUAGUUGUCAGUGAUCCUUUUAAUCUCAACCUCUGUGAACUUGUUUAGACCAUCAACGUUGAAUGAUCUCCAGUUUACCUUUUCAUCCUCUUGGAUAAGGUCUGCAGGCUUGACCUUCUUGUGACUCUAACAAAGAAGAUUAUACUGUUAUAUUAUAGGGAGAUCAAGAAAAGUGAAAGAAUAGUAUAAUUUACAAAAGGUCUCCAACACGAUGUUAUCUGUUGCACGUGACGUCUAAUUAGUAAACUUCUUUCUUGAGACCGUUCAGUAAACCAACCUGCUCAGAUGAUGAACUGCUGAUACCAAUUUUGUCUGAAUAGUCCACACUUCCUGUUUUAUCAAGCCUAUCGAUUAUGUCCCCUGCAUCUGGUCUCUUCUUCGGGUUCAAGUCCAAACAUUCUAUCCCUAUCUUAGUGCAUACUCUUACUUGUUCCAACUGUGUAUCUCCCUCUAAUGCCUCCAGUCGAUCCAUCCAACUUGCAACUACCUGAUUCAUCCAACUGGCAACUACCUACAAAUUUGCAAUCAUGAGUUACUUAGUAUUUAUAUAACUAACGCCGUGCCCCAUACAACAGUGUGGGGAACAACUUUUCUGGGUCUCACGUACAUAUGUAUUUACGUAUUGUUUGCAAGAAGGUCAUAUUGACAGCCAAACAAGUCGAUUGUAUGUAAUUUGGGAUCACUACACAUAAUUAAAGGUCAGAUCAAAAGCGAUAUGAUCAUAUGAUUAGUAUUUUGUUAGUUACAAACAAUUAAUCAUCUUGCUUUUGAUCACUAGACACAAUAUUACAUCCCUAUACAACAUCAAGGCUCCAAAUUCCAGCUGGGUUAUUGUUUCAACUAUUCGAAAUGAAAGAAGGGCCAUCUGAGAUGUUGCCUGAAAAAAUUAUACAAUGAAUAUUUCGUGUCAUGGUAGAUGAAAUUAUGCUAAGGGGAAAGUUUCUCAAUGUACUUUCUGCGAGUCAUGUUACAUGAAGAAAAUUCUGAUGCAAUUUCACAAAAUAUAACUAGUGAUAUGGAGACUUUGUUUUGUGACGAUUCACUAUGCAUAGUUUCUUGUAGUCGGUGUCUAGAAAACGGGAUUAAUUUACUUCCACAAGAAAAUGUGCAUACCUAUAGUGCUAUACUACUUACAAGAAUGAUUUUUUGUGAAAACCAACCAAUGUUAAUCAUUCAGAAUAUCAAAUCUGAUGUGGCCAAGAAAGAAAACUUGGAACCUUAGCUUCUAAUGACUUCACUAAAGGGUUAAUCACAUAUAUUUUUUUAUCCUAUUUAUGUAUUCUAAGAAAAACGUUGUGUUAGUUUAUUUAUUUAGCAAGGUGUAGUUAAUAUUGUGAAUGUGCUAAGUUAUAAACCAAAUAAAAUGUAAGGAUAAAUUUUAAAUUGGUGAAAGUAUAUUUUGGGUGGAGUAGUCAAUAUAUUAAAACUGUGCAUCACAUGUAUACGUUCGGUAGUAGUAGGAAAUCAAAAUCACAUAGCUUGGUAACAAUGAAUAUGAGUUAUUUAAAGAAAAAUGUGAGUUAUCUCAAACAUCUUAAAAAUGUACGCUUUCAAAGAAGUGUACGCGUGCAAUGCACAUAGUCCAAGAGAAUGUACCAACAUAUGUAAAAGAUCACAUUGAAUUUAACUUCGUUAAAGGCGUUUCUUCUCUCACCAACCACACAGAUGACUAGAUUUCGCAAGCAUGGGACUAAGAUAUAACUAUUGCAAACUUAAAUCAUGAGUGGUUGCUGAAAGUAUGUAUGGAUGGGUUGGAUCAAAAUGCCCUACCACCUUUUAUUUGUAUUAGUGAUAAUGGAACAGAGAUAUAUGCUAAACUGGAGUGUAAAACAUUGAUUUCAAAAUAUUUCCUUCGACUAACUUGGAGCAUAGCAUAACUUGUUGUUACCUUCUCAUCUUCGGGAUAACUCUUCUCUCCUAUCAGUAUCUCCAUGAUUAUGGCGCCUAGGCUAAAUAUGUCUAACUUAUAUGUGAUUUGUCCUCUCAGUAGUUCCGGAGCAAAAUAUCCUCUGUUGCAAGAUUUAUGAAGUCUGAUUGAUGAAUGUGCAAAUAAAUUGUAUAAUAAUUUUUGCCACCAAAGAGAAGAAUAACUUUUAAGAGGCUUGCUUACCGUGAUAGAAAUAUUUGUUCAGUGAAUGCACUUGUUUGCCCUUCCUCGAAACACCUUGAUAGACCAAAAUCAGUAAUUUUAGGUACCAUGUGAUCAUCUAACAGUAUAUUAGCGGGCUUGAGGUCCAAAUGAAGAAUGCACUUCUGAUGAAGAUAAUGUAGCCCCUCGCAUAUUCCCCUGAUUAUUCGAUAGCGCUCUCUCCAUUCAAGUCCAGUAGAUACAUCUGAAGAGGAGGUAGUAGGUUUUUAAAAUAUUCAUAUUUUAUUUUUAUCGACAUUGAUAUUGCAAUGUAAAUCUAGGAAUGCAAAGUACAGAACAUGCUAAGUAGUCAAAUAACCUAGAAUAGAGUAAAUAAACAUUGACAGAAAUACAAGUUGAGCAUCGAUCCUACCGGCAAUAUGCUUAUCAAGGCUCCCGUUGGGCACAUGCUCAGAGCAAAGUAGCCAGUUUCGUUGAUCUGACAUGACAAGCUUUCCCUCGUAGUCUUCCAUUUCCCCUUGUGUCUCAGCGCAGUACCCCAAGAAACGUACUAUGUUCUCAUGCUUAGCCUUCAUCAAGCAUUUAACCUCUUGGUGGAAUUUAUUCUCGCGGAUAUUGUAUGUGUUGGAUAGCUUCUUGACAGCGACCGUGUAUUUUCCAACCACCCCCUGUGGUGACAAUAUGCAUUGUCAGCUUCGUGUGUGUCUGGCCCUGCACAUACCAAAAUGCUACUCCCUCCGUCCCAAAAUUCUUGUCUUAGAUUGUCUACAUAUGGAUGUAUCAAGUCAUGUUUUAGUAUUAGAUUUGCCCCCCUGCACAUAUCAAAAUGCUAUUUACCUUAUAAACCACCGCAAACCCUCCUAUGCCGAUUCGAUGAUCAGGAGAGAAACCAUUCGUGAUGUCCUCCAAGAGUGAAAACGGCAGUUUCAUGGGCUCUGCAUAUUUGUCAGCCAGCAAGCGCUCCAGGAUGGCGUGUUUACUGUUGCCUUCGGGAUCCAUUCGCAAUCUCCUGAGUCGAGAGCAAUGCCGUUAUUUAGGCAUAUGGUACAGAUUAGUAUAUUAUUGACGCCGAUUGUUGAAGAAAUUAAACUGCACGAUGAAUAGCAUGCACCAUGUAGUUGUAAUGAUUUGUUGACAAAUGCACGCUGUUAUUCCGAUGACCAAAUACCCUUAAAUGGUACUUUCUUCACUUCAAUUUACUGGUUGUGGUUUUAAUUCAAAUUUGAACUAAAACCACGACGAGUAAAUCGGAACGGAGGGAGUAGUAGUAUUGCUCUGCUUAAAGACUGAAAGUUUCAGUCCAACUUCACAACUUAUUGUGUUUCAGCAAAAAUGGUAGAGUUACCAAAUAGGCUACGCAAAUUACCAUACUUAACUNNNNNNNNNNNNNNNNNNNNNNNNNNNNNNNNNNNNNNNNNNNNNNNNNNNNNNNNNNNNNNNNNNNNNNNNNNNNNNNNNNNNNNNNNNNNNNNNNNNNNNNNNNNNNNNNNNNNNNNNNNNNNNNNNNNNNNNNNNNNNNNNNNNNNNNNNNNNNNNNNNNNNNNNNNNNNNNNNNNNNNNNNNNNNNNNNNNNNNNNNNNNNNNNNNNNNNNNNNNNNNNNNNNNNNNNNNNNNNNNNNNNNNNNNNNNNNNNNNNNNNNNNNNNNNNNNNNGCCCAUAGGAUACAUAGGUGUAGCUUUACUCGUAUUUCAGACGGUUUACCGUUGACCAAGAGACUAGCUGAUUACCGUGGGCUAAGAACACCGCCAGAUCAGAUCUAGCGCAUCCGGCGCAACAGAAAGAGAGAGGGGCCGGCGAGAUCGAUGUAGCCAUGGAAACUGAUUAAGGAACAGCUACCUCGGCAAGCAAGUUGAUUGCCCGAUCUUCGCCGGCGGAAGCGCGGCUGCCGUCGGCCGUCGUCCUCAACGCCCAGCUAAUCUUUAUCUUUAUCUUUACCUCUUUGUCUUUACCUCUUUAUUACCUACUAAUAACGAAAUUUGUCACCACAGGGGGUGGUUGGAAAAUACACGGUCGCUGUAGGGGUCGGCUGGGAGGAUGGUAAAUUUGAUUCGUCUUCUAGAGCAGCAAGAUUCUGAACGAGGCCGAACACAACAGCGAGGCCAGCUUCAGUUCUCUGAAUCUCCAGUUCCGUGUCGUGAUUUGGAUGGAAUUGGAGACCGUGUCUUUCUCCAACAUAAAUCAAUUUCCAAUGUAGUCGAGUUCGAGUCUCUGUUCUUCUCCAACGCAAAAGCAUGUAGUGCCCGACCCGGAUUGGACUUGGCUGUAAUAAUAAGGAGGGAUCCUCGACCGGAACGUCCAUCAGGCCGCGUCCCUCGACCAGAAUCUCCAUCAAAACUCAUCACAUUGCAACUUUCAGAGAAACAUCCAAUGUCUCUGGCUGAGGAAAAUCAUUCGUCCAGCCGUGCUAUGCCGAGUUCGCUGGCGGAAGAAGAACACCCGUCGAGCCCUCCAUCGCCUGAGGCGGCUACACCAGAGGUAUUUCUCCCCUUGAAAGUUACUACACCUCAGGCUAGCAUGUUUGCAUCUCUGAAUUUUUUUAGCGAUUUGUUCAUGUUUGUUGUCUGAACAAGACACAUAUCUGAAGAUUCAGUAUUGACUUAUACCUUGGAGUUUACAUCUGUUGUAUUGUUCCUCUAUUCUAAACUGAACCAUGCUAUCCGAACAAGUUUGGGCCUACACAUAGUCAAAAGUUUGAGUGAUAAUUAUGUUCCAGUUGCAUUUAUAUUCAGAUUUCAGAGAAGGAACAAAGUUCCAUGAAAAACAAAUUGUUAGUGUGUUCCUUGACGUUAUACACCUGAGCACCCCUACUGUUAGCACCAAAAUUAGCAUUAUUCUUGGCAUGUAUAUAAAUGCUUUGUUUGCAUGAUUAUUUGAUUGAAGUAGGGCAAAAUGACAGUAAACUGAACCAUGAAAUUUUAGAAUCAGAAAGUAGGCAUAUACAUCGUCAUUAGCUCAUUCUUCUGAAGUUGCUCCAUGUUACUCCAGUUUUAGGGCUCCAGAAGCUUAACCAUUGCAAUUUCUUUAACCCUAAAAACAAUUACCUAUGCUUCUUUUGAGAGUGAAAAAAAACAUGCCUAUGUUUUUUUUGUGAGGGUUAAAAAGAUGUCUAUGCUGAUUCAUAAUGUUAGUGUUUCUCUAGAAGAACUAAUGUUACAGUUUUCUCUCUAACUAUCCAGGAGGAAGAGCUCUGCAGAGAUCUCCGAGGAAGCCGGCGCUAUUAUCCAUCGAGAAACGAAACCGGCGGCGUCGAUGGCGCUAGAGCCCUAGAUGGGUCUGAUGCAUCUGUUUCUUUUAAGACAAUACUGCGUCUGGUGCUGUGGAAGUGAGGAGACGGAAAAGCAACAGGAAGUGCUCAUGGGCUGGAACGGCCAGAUGGAUUCAAUUAGGCCUUUACAUUUUGUCCAAUCACUAUUCUAACAGACCGGGAAGACCAAAGUGGGCCUAGCAAAUGUAAAUAUCGCAUUGAGCAACAUUUUUUUCUUCUUCUUUUCGGAAGGGGCAAUUCCCCAGACGCGGAUUUUACCCUCUGGGGCAUAUGCUCCCUAAUGAAAAGCAAAAUCAAAAUAAUAUUAAAAAAUUAUAAAUUCUAAAAUUUAUAGAUAGUCUGCUUCGUCGGUGAAAAAAAAAGUGAAACAUUUGACGCCCGGAGGGCCAUGGUUGGAGAAUGAGGAUUCAUUUGGAAUCUGAGGUGGGAGAGGUACGAGACGAUGGAUUUUUGAACACUAAUUGUUGGCUACAUGCGCAACAACGACUCUGAACUAGCAGCUACCAAUAAAACACCUACACUCUCAAUGCACCCAAAAAAAUGGCAAAAUAAAUAAGAAAUGAAAUAUAAUAUUCUAAAAAAACACCUUCUCAGAGUAAAAAGUAAUCGGGUUUUUUUGAACAACAAAAAAAUUGAUUGAAAGAAUAUUUCAUACACAACUACUAUUUCAUAUAAUGAAAUGAAAAUGACGAGCUGAAAUAGAUCAUGACAAACAUGAUUAGGGUACGCUCAAAUGUCAAAGUACAAAAUGAAAUACUAAGUGUAACUUUAUUUCUAACGUUUACAAUAAUUAAACUAAAAAAGGUCUUGCAUAAUGGCAUAAGGAGCAGGUUAUAUCUAAAUUUUCGCCCGGUGCAACGCACGGGCAUUUGUACUAGUAAUUAAUCAUGGGACCAAAUAGUAAGAGUAAUACAUCAUGUUGGAGGAGCAUACCUUGCCUAGAAGACGGGGCGGCGAAUCAAGCAAUCCUUGAGAUCGAUGCACCUGAUUGCUGCCAAGGCCAAGAUGAUUAGACGACCGAGCUUGUAACUGCAACUGCUCUCCCUUCCUCCGGUUCGACGACCUUAAUUCCUUCCCCGUCAACGCCUCCAGGCUCCAGCUAAUUAGUACUCCCUCUUUCCAAAAAUACUUGUCAUCAAAAUAAAUAAAAUGGAAUAUAUCUAGAUGUAUUUUAGUUCUAGAUACAUCUUUUUUUUAUCCAUUUUAAUAAUAAGUUUUUUCGGACGGAGGAAGUACUGCACUACCGCUACUGCUACCGCUACCGCAUCUGAUAUUUUCUAUGUUCUACUUGCAGUUGCAGCUAGUAUAAUACUCUUGUUUAAUGACCCAGAAUAAUUAAGCAACUAGAGCACAUGGUAUGCUGGGGCGGUGGGCGUAAUCCUUAUAUAUAAUAACUACUCCCCCACGCGUUAUGGGACGAAGGGAGUAGAUGACACCCCGCGUGUUUCAAGAUCUCAUGGCAAAAUAUCAUAACACGAGCUCGUCAUAGAAAACAAUAACAUGAUCUCUCGGCUUAUCCUAAUGAUUCUACAACACUCCACAAAUUUCGGAUCAGAUCUUGCAGCGACAACGGAAGAAAAGGUGAAAAACCAAAAUCUCAUCUAUUUUUCUCACCUUUUCUUUGGCUGACCUCGGUUACAGUUGGCGCAACUCCUCACCAUUGAAUCCGACGAUGUGUAGGUCGUCGUAGCUCCUCCCCAUAAAAUCCGGCGGUGGUGGGAGUUAGAGAAGUUAGAUGAUGCGUCGUUACCAAGGAGCAGCAAAGAGGUGAACAUGUGUGUGGAGCUCGGUCGCAGACCAUAUGGAAUGCUGCAGUGGCACAUGUCAUCGCAGCUCCUCGCCGUUGAAUCCGGCGGUGGCAGGGGUUGGUGAGGUUGGAUCCAGCGUCGCUGGAAUAGCGGAGAGGUGAAGGUAACUACACAACAGAUGGCUGGGAAAAGGGACAUGGGAGAGAAAUAAAAGAUGAAGAAACACAAGCGGUCGACGAGAACGUCUCAUCCCACUAAACGCGCAUCGCCGGAAAUCCAGGUCUUGAACCUUGAUGGGCUAGGGAUACCACUAUCCUCCUAGCCAUCGAAUCACAUGUUGGCUCGCUGUUGUCUUCCCUUUUCUACGGACAAACAAAACCUGAAAAAGGAUGUGGACGAGUUGGUUCACAUCUUGUGUGGUGAAUGUAACAUAACUUGCUUUGUUACUUAGAGGAAAUUCUAAACAAACAUUAUGUCAGGUGUAUUCUAUUUAGAACCCUUUCCAUGGAAAAAUUAGUACAAAAGAUUAAAAGAUGAAUGCAGAGUCAGAAUUAGGCUGGGAUGCACACAUGGUAAGAACACUAGCUAUGCUUAUUGUGCAUUAGCAGUUUAUAUCGUAGUGGAAGCAAGAUUAAUAAAAGGGAGCAUUCUUCAUCCUUCACAUUGUUGUUAUAAUAAGUCAUAAAUUGUUGUGUUCUGUAAACAUGUUCUACAGUCAUCUUAUUUCUAGAUAAUGUCUAAGUCGUGAACAACUAUGUCUAGAACAUUGGGUAAACAUGACAAACAUUUGUUUAUUCAAAAAAAUACAUGGUGAACUUUUUGUUAAUAUUGUGCACACUUUUUAGUUACGCGAUGAAAACUAUCAAAAACAUACAUGAUAAUUUAUUUUUAAAUACACGAUGAACAUUUUUACAUAAGUGAUGACCUAUUUUGAAUCCACAAAGAAUUUUUCUAAAACACAUGACGGACAUUUUUAUAACACGUGACGAACAUAUUUCAUUACAUGACGAACAUGUUUUGCACAAAUGAUGAGCAUUUUAUAAAAAAAGUUUCACCUAGCUACAAAAUGUUCAUCCACUUUCAAAAAAUAUUCCAGAAAAUGUAAAAACAUUAUUUAUAUAAUUUUAUCACUUUCUUAAAGAAAGAUUUGUACUUCUAUAGAAAAAAAAACAUAGAUAAAAUUUCAGUGAACUAUAACGAACGGAGAGAAAAAAGUCACAAAAACCCACAUGCACGCGUGUUUUGUUGACUAAGCGUCAAAUAGAGGGCAUGCCUAUGUCUUGCUUGUCGCAAGACGUAGGGCAGCCUAGCCUAAAGGCGAACCCAAGCUGACCCGGCCCAGGCAUGCGCGAGGCAACAGCCUACUUUUUUCAUUUGUUUUUUCUGUACUUUUUAUAUUUCAAAAUAUUCUAAAUAUAUAUAUAUAUAGUAAAAAAAGACUUUAGAUAAAACAUUGAAAAAAGGGUAAUCAAGCAUUUGAAAAAUGUUAAAUAUGUAUAGUAAAAUGUUUCUCAUGUAUACGAAAAAAGUGUACAAACAAUAUACAAUGUGUAUAAAAUAUUCGAUAAUGUAUUUAAUAAAUUCUAAUCAAGCAGUCGGAAAAAGUGUUAAUGAUAUAAUUUAAAAAUCUUAGUCUAGAAUUUCAAAAAAUUUAAAUUUGUAUAGAAAGAAUGUUUCCAACGAAAAAAUAUAAAAUGUGUAUGAAAACNNNNNNNNNNNNNNNNNNNNNNNNNNNNNNNNNNNNNNNNNNNNNNNNNNNNNNNNNNNNNNNNNNNNNNNNNNNNNNNNNNNNNNNNNNNNNNNNNNNNNNNNNNNNNNNNNNNNNNNNNNNNNNNNNNNNNNNNNNNNNNNNNNNNNNNNNNNNNNNNNNNNNNNNNNNNNNNNNNNNNNNNNNNNNNNNNNNNNNNNNNNNNNNNNNNNNNNNNNNNNNNNNNNNNNNNNNNNNNNNNNNNNNNNNNNNNNNNNNNNNNNNNNNNNNNNNNNNNNNNNNNNNNNNNNNNNNNNNNNNNNNNNNNNNNNNNNNNNNNNNNNNNNNNNNNNNNNNNNNNNNNNNNNNNNNNNNNNNNNNNNNNNNNNNNNNNNNNNNNNNNNNNNNNNNNNNNNNNNNNNNNNNNNNNNNNNNNNNNNNNNNNNNNNNNNNNNNNNNNNNNNNNNNNNNNNNNNNNNNNNNNNNNNNNNNNNNNNCAUAUGUUUAUUAUUUUGUUAAUGGCAAUAUUCAUUUUUUAACACACAAUAUAUAUUUUUCAUAUACAUCAGAAACACUUUUAUAUACAUGUUUAAAUUUUAUAAAUAUAGAAUUAACUUUUGUAAAAAUAUAUGUUUUCUGGUGUCUACAUUUAUUUAAUGUAUGUUAGACAAUUUUUUUCUAUACAUCAGAAACAUUUUUUAUUCAUGUUUAACAUUUUGAAAAAUACAUGAUCAACCUUUGAUCAUUCAUGUUUAACAUUUAAAAAGUAUUUUUUUCGGUUUUCUUCUUGUCUUUUUUCUUUGGUUGCUUUUCGGUUUUUCCAUUCCUGUUCAUUUUGUUUUCCCCUAAAAGAAGAACUAGGACCGGAAAUAUGAAUGAAUGCUCUCUAGUAGCUGCCAUUUGUCUAUGGCCGUCAGUUCUCUGUGACAAAUCCAAUUGCACACUUGCCUCAAUUUAUCUUCAGUUUUAGUUCACUUAUCCGAAAAUUUAGUGGAAGUAAUGGAAAAAUCACAUUGUCCUUAUCAUGUCAAUCGUCUUGAAAGUUGGAUUGUACUUGGUUAACAAAUCGACUUGUUUAAAUAAAUUACUUGAUUUAUAAGAAGUGUUUAGGCUUCUGCAGGUCGGCGGAUGCGGAGGCGGCGAUCGCGGCAAUAGGGUGAUCGCACAUGCGGCUGGGGCGACAUAGCUCGAGUCUGGAGAGGAAGCUCGUUCAGUUCACCUGGUCGUCUUUAAGAGUGCUUGUCGCCGUUAAAAUUCAGUCUGCGUUCUGUCGUUUUUUGGUAAAUCUUGUUCUUUAUAUAAUUUCUAUACGUUAGUUUAACCCCUUGUCUUGUCUUUAUUGCGCUGACUGUGCAGGCCAAGAAGGCACACCGGACAUUAAAAUCAGUAGUGAGGUUAAACAAUGCGGACUUCGUUUGUACAUAUAUAAAUUUGUCGUUCUAACAAAUAUGAUAGACUAAUCAUAAACUUCAUUCGUAUUAUUAUUUUAUAAACAAUUCUGAGAAUAGAUAUCGAGUCUAAUUAAAUUAAAUAUUUAUUUUUUAUAAAUAUUUAUAACUCACUAUUAACUGUCAGUGGUUACUUAUUUUUUAUAUUUACUUAUGCUAAUUAUGCUCAAUAUAAAUAAUAAUAUUUUCUGCUAAGUUGCAAUGUGUGUCAUUAAAAUAUAUGUACACCUUAAAUUUGAUUAGUUUCUUUCUAUUCAAUAGAUUGCACCAUAAAAUAAUACUUAAACUCAACCCCUCUAACCAUAAGAAAAUAGAUUACAUAAAAUUGCAUGUUUCAUGGAUUAAUUUGUGACACUCACAUGACCAUAGUAUAUACGUAUAUCUCCCUUUGUGUGUGUCUUUAAAAGUCAGAAAUAUCCUGAUAGCGGCUUCUAGUAAACUAUUAGGUAUACAUAGAGGAAAAAAAAUCUCGUAGAUAUGUUCACAACAUCCCAAAUCCUUGGCCACAUCUCACAUCUUCGUCACAUCUCGCAUGUGGAUCGUGCAUGGAUGUACCUACCAGGAUCGUGGAACCUCGAGCAAUCGGUCGACUAACAUGAUAUGAGUAUGGAUAUUAACUAGUGAACAAAGGAUAUCCAAUACAUGUCGUGAUAAUGACAUCAUUUCUAAAUUUAAUGAUAUAAACCUCGCAAAGUAUCUGUAGAUAUCAAUUGCUAUACUCACUCUAUUAUUCCAUUCUAUUCUCUCACUAGGAAAAAGUCUAAUAGUGUUCACUAUACACGAGAACAAAGCUGUAAAGAUUCUAACAGAUCUGCGAAUGUUUUAUCCGAUUCGUGAUCAUAUACAAAAAUCACACACAAUUUCUCAAAUUCGCGAGCAAUUUUCGAAUCCAUGGACUUUCAAAUACGUGAAUAAUUUUUGAACUAGGGGAACAAUUUUACAAUUCAUGAACAUUUUCUGAAAUUCAAGAAUUUUUUUAAAUUUAUGAACAAUUUAAAUCAUAUAAUAUUUUGAAAAUUUGAAGCACUUUCAGAAAUGCGCGUACAUAUAAUUAUUUUAUGAACCGAUGACCAUUUUCGAAUCGACAAUUAUUAUUAUUAUUUUGGGAACUCUUUUUGGAAUUCGUGAACAUUUUUGGAAAUUUGCGUUGUUUUAUCAUAUUUCGUGAACAAUAAUUUGAAUUCACAAACAUUGUUUUUUGAACAGUAUAUUUUUAAGUUCUUAAAGUUUUGUGAAAUUCAGAAUAUUUUUUAAAUCCCAAUUUUUUUGUAGAAUUACAAGUUCAUGAACAUUUUUUGCAAUCGAGAAAGAACGAAAGUACAAAAGCAAAAAAAAACAUGGCUCGCCUUGCAUAUGGGCCGGCUCAAAAGCACGCGUUGUGGGCGGGGGUGCACUUAAACCUGAUUAUAUGGCGGGCUGGCCCCGGGUUUUGGGCUGGGCUUCAAAAAGCCAGAAACCCAAACUUCAAGCCCCAAGCUAGUCUAAAGCCCUAAAAAAAGCUAGUCUAAAGUCCGAAAGUACACACUUUCUCAAGCUCGAGCCUCGUCCAAAUAUAGGCCCGAAGCCCGAAAGUCUAGCCCGAAUGUUGUUUCUCAAUGUUGUUAUGUGUAAGCCGGACCGGAAUUCUGAAAGCCCAACCAAAUACUAUUUCCCAGUAUUGUUACGAAAGCCCGAGCCUAGCCGAAAUGUACUUUGGGUUGCAAAACAAGGCCCGAGCUCGGCCUGGAUUUUUCGGGCCAGGCUCGGGCCGGGCUACCCACAGGUUUAGGUGCACGUUUCCUCACUUUUCCCCGCGUAGGUCAGGGAAUAGGAGGCCUCCGGCAAAUACGCACACACGUCAAAUGGAUGCGAAGACAGUCACAAGCAAGGUGACUUGGGCAGGCCAGCUCGGGGUGUUGUUUCGUUCGCUGGUUCCUGCUGCGUUUCUUUGCCUGUUUUUUGUGUUUGGCUUCUGAACUGUUUUUUUUUCUUGGUUGGAUUAACCAUUCUUUUCAUUGUCCAUUUUCCUCUUNNNNNNNNNNNNNNNNNNNNNNNNNNNNNNNNNNNNNNNNNNNNNNNNNNNNNNNNNNNNNNNNNNNNNNNNNNNNNNNNNNNNNNNNNNNNNNNNNNNNNNNNNNNNNNNNNNNNNNNNNNNNNNNNNNNNNNNNNNNNNNNNNNNNNNNNNNNNNNNNNNNNNNNNNNNNNNNNNNNNNNNNNNNNNNNNNNNNNNNNNNNNNNNNNNNNNNNNNNNNNNNCCCCACAACACUGUGUAUGAACAUUUGUCCUUUGUGUUUGAGCCUUUUUGAAUAAUAUAAGGUGAUUUUUUUGAACAAUUCAUGGUUAAUAUUUUUUUAAUACACAAUGAAUAUUUUAGUUUAUUUUUUUAAAUAUGUUUAUAUUUUUUAAGUACACGAUGAGCAUUUUUUACUUUUAAAAAUACACGGUUAAGUUUAUUAAUACAUGACGAACAUUUCUGAAACAUGGUGAAAUUUUUCAUUAAUGCACAAUUAACAUUUUUUAAAUUACGCGAUGACAACUUUUAAAUACAUGAUAAUUCAUUGUUAAAUACAGGAUGAAUUUUUUAAAGUUAACUGCAAACCUUUUAAAUUCACGAUGAACAUUUUUAAGAUACACGGCGUACAAUUUUGCAGUACGCAAUAAACAUUUUAAAUUCACGGUUAUCAUGUUUUGAACACAUGAUGAACAUUUUUUUUAAAGCCUCACUUAUCUAGAAAAAAAUGUUCAUAAAUCGACUUGCUCAUCCUAACAGAAAAAACUACGACCAGCAGUAUGAGUGCAUUGCACACGCCUGAAUUUCUCUUGAGUUUCAGUUCACGGAUCUGAAAUUAUCAUGUCCAUCGCUUCGAACAGCUGCAGUUGUUCGGUUGAGAAAUCGACUUGUUUAAAUUACUUGAUUCAUUCAUAAUAACUUGUUAUACAAAACACACACUGAAAUUACAAAGUCUUGAUAAGGCAAGCAACACACAAACCACCCCCUCACACUCGCCUGAUACACUCGUAGUACAUGACUGUUAUUCUGAACUCUCAAUUCUGUAGUGCAGAUACUAAAACGAGGCAGAAAACCAAACAACGUACCCACGCAUGCAAAGCGAUCAUAAAUAACAAGGUCUAUCACUCACUGAUCACCAACCCGCUGAUGAGAUUUCAUCGCUGGUUAGGACGGUGGUGGACCGGAC
rnacentral:lncRNA from 1 species